GGGUUUGCGGUGGACCAGGUGCACGGCAGCGGUUCACGGGAACAGCGACGACGAUGACGUCAGCGAUGACGGCAGCGAUGACGUCAGCGAUGACGGCAGUGAUGACGUCAGCACCGGCGGCGGCUCGGGCGCGCAUGCUCGCCGGCGAACGACGGCGCGGCGACGCGAACGGAGGGCACCAACGGGUAGAGGGCGACGCGGCGAACUCACCGGUGACCAAAACCACGGCGGAAGAGCAACGGACGGCGCCGGCGACGAGGAAGAAGCGGCGGCGGAGAUCGGGUCGACGGCGGCGACGGUGCUCCGGCGGUCUUCGGCGGCGGCGAAGGAGCGGACGAGGACGGCGGCGACUUGGCGACCACGAUGGCGGUCUUCCCGAACGACGGUGACGACUGGAACGACGGCGAAGGACGACUGGAGCGGCGGCGACGACGGCGGCGCAAAAGCUCACGAGGCUAGGGCGCUACACACGACGGCGGGCGAAGGCGAGAGAGGCGGCGGGUAGAGGAGACACCGGGGGUGCUUUUAAAGGGGCAAGGAGGCGGCGGCGGAGGCCCACGGCUGCCGGCGAUGAGAAGGAAAGGUCGGGGUUCGGAGGAAAGAGGCCGAUCCGAAUCGAACUCGAAUCCACGAAUUUCCAAACGAUUUUAGCCGACGAUUCCAAAAGAGAAAAGGAAGAGGAGAUCGAGAAGAUCAUUUCUCCUCUAAAGAUUUCACCGGAGAAGGAAAGACGCGGCCGAAUUUGGAAGGAGACGGCGGCGGCUUGCGCUAGGGUUUCGGGCGGCGGCGGCGGCGCGAGGAGGACGACGGGUCCGACAAGCGGGGCCCACCUGUCAGCGACAGAGAGAGAAGAGAGCGGCGGCUCGGCGGACUGGGCCGGACUGGGCCGAGGGAAGAGAGAGAGAGGGGGUUUUGGGCCGGCUUUCGGCCCAAAGCCAAAACAGACUUUUUAAAAACCUUUUUCAAUUUAAAUUAUUCAUGAAAUGCAAUUCCAUUUAUUAAAAAUACUUCCUUAGCUCAAAUAAAUCCCAGAAAAAUCUAGGAAUUAUAGAAUUAAGCAAAGUAUUUAACAAAAUUUUAUCUAGCCCAAUUUUAUAUUGAGAUUUAACAAAUUAAAAUUAGAUCUUCUCUUUUAGGCUUUUAAAAUCAUUUCUAAUAAUUCCUUUUAAACAACAAUUUAUAAUUUAAGGAUUUUAAACAAGAAAAGCACUUAACAAUUAUAAUUAGAUCAUUAAUGAUCAAAUAAUUACUGAACUGUUCUUUGUAUCGUUUAGGAAUUGAGCUCUGAAAAAUCCGAGAAAAUUUCAGAGAGUUGACUUAAUCAUGGAGAAUUUAAUAAAAAUUAAAUCCAUCCAUGCUUUAUAUUUAGGAAAUUUUAUUUCCCACAUUUAACUUCACUUGUAAAUUAAAGAACAUUUAAUAUAAAUUCUAUUAAUAAUUUAUUAAAUAAUUUAUAAAUCCUGAAACAAAAAUUAGGAUGUGACACCGUACCACCUCUCCCCGUCGUCCUCGUCUCUCUCCUGUGCCGCCGGCCACCUCCAGCCGCCUCUGCCGCCUCGCCCGUGUGCCGGCCGGCCGUGCCGUAGCCAUCCUCAGCGUCGCAGCCGCCUCCUGUCCUCCGGCUUGCCUCUGUUUCUUGCGGUGACUGCCGGAGGCGCGUCCUCGUCGACGUCCAGUGGAGUUGCCGCCACUGCACCCCUCCAGCCGCCUCUGCUGCCGCGCCUUAGCGUCGGUCGGCCGUGUCGUCGCCUUCCUCAGCUCCGUGGCGUCGUCCUCCUCCCUGGCCUCACCAUCUCCUCGCUCGAAGCUCGCUGGAGUGGUGUCCUCGCCGGCGGGUAGUACCUCCCAUCCUCCUGGCCAGCUUCUGUUCCUUGUCGGUGCGCCGGCCGACGUCGUCGCCAUCACCUUCGGUAUCACAGCGGCAACGUCGUCCUCGGCAUCGCCUCCCCUUCGGCCGAACCAGCCGGCGUUCGUCGUCGCCUCCUCGCCGGUUCCCAUUGUCGUCCUCUCAUUGUUCCCGGUCGUCGUGGUGUUCGUCCCUCCACCAAGCCGAUCGCGUUCGUCGUCCGCGUCCGUCAAGUGAGCCGCUGCAGCCCUGUCGUCGCUUCGUCCUCGGCUCCGCGUCAUCACGCCUUGAGCCGGCCUCAUCUCGCCUUCGUCCCAGGAUCGCCGCCGAAGUCGUUCCCUCGCCGUUCGUCUCCGUCGUCCCCGAGCCGUCUCCGCCGCGCCCGUUUGUUGUCGUCGUUCCCAUGCCUCGUUGCGUGGUGGUAAGGGUCCAUCCUCUCGCUGCCCCCGUCCUCGUCCUUUCGGUGUCGCCCGUGCCCGUUGUGCGGUUGUUGACCCCGGUACCCGUGUACUGGUGUCGGUAGUCGUUUGUGUGUGCGUGUGGUGACCGUGUUAGUGUGCUCGCUCGGUAGCCGCGUGGUUUCCACGUGUGCAGCCCGCGUGGUGUCUAGUGGAGUCCGUUUGUCGGUCACUCGCCUCGGUUGACACACGGGGUCCGCUUCCGUCGACCCAUGGACCGUCUCUGUGUACUCGGUCUACCGUGAUCCCUUAGGUUGACAUGUGGGGUCCGCAUGUCAACAGCGCAACCUUCCUGUAUUUUUCAGGCUAGCGCUUACAUAUAUUUUAUAGUUGCAAAACCUAAUUAUAAUAAUCCGUUCGGAUGAUCAUAUCUUGAUCAUACAAACCCCGAAUCGACCCGUUCAAGUCUCCUAAUGUUUGUUAUAACCUAAAGAACCUUGUGCUUUUCUUUUUAUGUAUUGUUAUUGCUUCUCUAUAGGCUUGUAGCUUUGCUUGUGUGCUUUGCGUAGCUUCUGUCAUUUCGAAGGUUCCUGAAGCGUGGCUCGUGGUCGUCGCUGAAGGUUCGGAAGGCCGUUCUCUCUGAGCAAGGCAAGUUGCAUCAUCCUUGAGCAUAUUGAAUCCCAGUUUAUAAAAUUAUUUUGAUUUGAAUUAUUGCAUUACUGCUUUAUUUAAAUUCCCGCAUUAUCACUGUUUUAUUUAGCAUUACCUAUUAAUCCUUGUUAUAGCCUUAUCAUUGCAAUUGUUAUUAUCACCUUGCUUACCCUAGGCAAACAAAACCCCAACUAGUGGGUACUCUAUUAAUGGUUCCACUAGUAUGAAUUUAGGUAGAUGCUUCGCUGGUUAAUUAGUCAACACUAGGUGGUUUGAUAACUUUAGACUUUGGGAGUUCUCAUAUCACUUGGACACUAUGGAAUGGUUGGCUUAUGUUGGAAUUGGACAUACCCCUCUCUUCCUCUUUCAAAACCCCUAAAACCUGUUUUCCGGUGGGGUUUGGGUGCACGCCAGUUGUGGGAAGUAGCACCCCGGCCAAUAUAAGGAUUACGCUCGGGCCUCUGUUGCAAAGCACUACCGUACUAAUCACAUGUCUAAUGGGUAAGGCUUAACUCGGUGCUCAGUCUAGUCCUGAACAAAAGGACACGGAUAGAGAUGGAUGAAGUCGUUGUGACGAUGGAUAUCUCUGAGGCAAAUGAAGGCUACGCGAGCUGCGGCUUGUUAAUCGAGAUGUCUAGGCAAAUGAAGGCUACAUGGGCCAGUGUCCGUUAGUCGAGAUGCCAUGGCACUGGACUAGUACGCGGGUGGUCUCACCCUUAUGUGUGUGGCGCACCUGGUCUAGAUCCUGUUGCUAGGGGCGCAAUCCUGGCCUGCCUGUCCGGGAUACCGGCCGUAGGCAGGGUUGAGUCGGUAUUUUUGUUCACGGCUAGGAUGGGUAAAGGGUUAUGUCACAUUUUUUAUGAUGGGUUCCAAUUGCAAUGGAAUGCAGAGUAAAGGCGUGUCUUGUGGGUAAAGAUGUACACCUCUGAUCAGAGUACAAUCUAUUCGAAUAACCGUGCCCUCGGAUAUGGGCAAGCCUAGCAAUGUACCCAAGUUAGUGGUUUAAUUCUUAAAAUUUGCUUAACAACUAAAAUAUGGAAUGGUAGGCCUGGGUUGGCUUGGGAUGAGCUAGGACCCAGGUCGGGUUGCCAGUUCGGUCUGAAUCAUCGUAGGCCUUGGGUUAAGGCAAGUUCGUGAGGGUUCACGGCCUUGAUUAAUAAUAUUGUGUAGCUCUAGGAUCGUGUUUAUAAAAUAGCUUUGAGCAACUAAGUGUCUUUUAAAUGCUCUUUACUGCGAAACCUAACCCUAUUAUUAUUACUCCUUGUACCCCCUUGCAUUAAUCAUGCAUCUCCCGGUGUGACUUGCUGAGUACUGUGGUUGUACUCAUUCUUGCUCAAUCUCCCCCCCUUUCAGUAAGAGAAGCUUUGGAGAAGAAGUCUAGGUGGAGUCCUGGCUUAUACCCCAGUUGAGCGCCUGUGAAGAUGGAGCCGUAGGCUUGCUAGUCCGCUGCUGUUUAUUUUUGAUUGUCAAGCCUGAAGUGCCUUUGUAAUAAUGUAAAUAUUAUCGAUAUAAUAAAGAUGUGUCUUUUGUAUCAUGUUUGUGUGGUGUACCCCGGCUUUUUCUGGGACGGGGAUUAAUACACUAGCGUUCUGGAAAAAAGCAAUUUUUCCGGGCGCGAUACCCAUGCAUGUGUCCAAACAUUUGAUGUGAUGUUUUUGGCCAAACUUUUUUGGAUCUAAACAAGGCCUAAAAAUGUAUAUGCGAUUCAGACCCUGUUUGGAUCAGGGACUAAAGUUUUAGUCCCUGUCAUAUUGGAUGUUUGGAGACUAAUUAGAAGUAUUAAACAUAGAUUAAUGACAAAACCCAUUCCAUAACUCUGUACUAAUUCGCGAGACGAAUUUAUUGAGCCUAAUUAAUCUAUGAUUAGCCCAUGUGAUGCUACAGUAAACAUGUGCUAAUUAUGGAUUAAUUAGGCUUAAAAAAUUUAUAUCGCGAAUUAGCUCUCAUUUAUGCAAUUAGUUUGCAAUUAGUUUUGUAAUUAGUAUAUUUUUAAUACUCCGAAUUAGCGUCGAAACAUCCGAUAUGACAAAGUUUAGUCUCUAGAUCCAAACACCACCUCAGUCAUUGAGUUUUCUGUACCUGCACCUGCUAUUUUCUGGUACCCUAUUUGUUUUUAUUCCUAUGAAGUUGCAUGCAGAAACGGUUAGGUUGGGCUUACAUUAUUAUUAUCUUGAAAUUGGUAAUUCCAUGUGAAAAUUUAGUUGCACAGUGCUUAAGCAUUGCUGGAUGUAAAGUAUGCUUGUGGUAUCUGGUAGCUCAGGUUUUAACUCACUGUGAAAUGAGAGGGUCAAAGCAGAACUGCAAACAUGAAACAAAUUGACUGACUAACCUGAACUCAUAUCUUGUUCAUAAGAGUAACAUGAACUCAUUUUCUGUCCACAAGAGUUACUAGUUCUUUGAUACUUCACUGAAGAUUUGUAGACCAUCUCAACGGUGUGGAAUACAGAUAAGAUAAUGGAUAAUUGUACCUUUUGCUAUCUGCUGUCUGCAGACUGCAGAUUAUCCAUUUUAUACCUAGUACGAUGCCAAUGCCAAUUCAGUAUUAUCUAAAAGGUAUAAUGCCAAUUAUCAGCACCGCUGAAAUUAGGCCAAGUUUAGUUCCAAACUUUUCUUCAAACUUCCAACUUUUCCAUCACAUCGAAACUUUCUUAUACACACAAACUUCCAAUUUUUCCGUCACAUCGUUCCAAUUUCAACCAAACUUCCAAUUUUGGUGUGAACUAAACACACCCUUAGUCUGCAGGUUCCAGAAAUGAAGUUUCAUGCAGAAAUGGUUGUGCUGGUAUUACAUCAUUUUGGUGCUGAAAUGGAUAAUUCGGUGGGAAAAUAUGCUUGUCAGUUCUUAGGCAUUCGUGAUAGAUGGUGUCAGGCAUUUCACUGAAUGAUCUAAAUUUUUAUGCAUAUAAUGUAAAGUCCGCUCGUGUUAUUGGUAAUUGAACUACUAAGCUAGUCUGAUAUAAUCGUCAACAUUAUUUGACAUUUCAGUAAUCUUUUGCAGAUGAGCAUAUCGAUCAGCUGCAAAGGAAUACAGAAAAUUGGAUUUUUUGGGGGAAAGAUAAUUGGAUUUUUUUUAAUCUGCAGAUUGUCCUGGUUCAUCAGUAUUGCUGUAGUUGCUAACCGGUACUCAUAGACUCCUUGGUACAACCGUACAACGCUAAUUCGCCAUCUUAAAGAAAUGUUACAAUGCCAAUUUAUCUGCACCACUGAAUUUAAUCUGUACCCAAUAUUCAGUCCCAGAUCAUGUGGAGGUUUGCACUUUGCAGAGUGCCAGUUCUCUGGAACUUAAAUUUUCCAAUACCUUUUAAACAGAACGAAAUUAAGGUGCUUCUCAAAACUAGUUUUGAAUUCAAAUUGCAACCUGCAAGUUGCCAUCGAUCAAGUCUUGCAACGCAAGCAGGCUCCGCUUCCUCCGCAGCUUCCAGAAUUUGUUCGAAACGAAGCAAACUGGAGCACGCAACUAUCCAACAUAUAUACUACUAGCAGCAGCGUCUUCCUCCUCGUCGUCUUCAACCUCUCUCGUGUCGCGUGCCAUUCGCCAUCGCCACCACCUCCACUACUCGAUCCCCUCCCAUCCCUCCGGAACCUCCACUACUACUCGCCCCACCAAUGGCUGACGGCGAGUCUCCGCCGUGGGCAGAGCUCGUCCCCGACAUCGUCCGCGAGAUCGGCCGCCACCUCCUGUGCGAGAUCGACCGCCACCAUGCGGAUGGCCUCUGCAGGUCCUGGCGCGACGCGCUCCUACAACUCCGGCCCCCGCCUCCGCCGCUCCCGCGGCUCGUCCUCCCGGAAGCCGACGGGCCCGCGUUCUACUGCGUCCCCAGCGGCUGCCGCCCCCACCCCUUCGUCCUCCCGCCCGCCGCGCUGCGCGCGCGGUGCUUCGGCUCGUACGACGGAGCCUGGAUCUUCCAGGCCGUCGACCAGGCGGCGAACCACGUCUUCCUCAACCUCAUCACCCACCAGCAGCUCAACCUCCCCAACCUGAUCCGUUUCCCCUCCUUCCGGCUUCCGGGAUUGACAUUUGACUUCGAGGUCGCCUUCGUCGCCGCCACCCUCUCUAGCCAGCCGACUGAUCAGGGAUGCGUCGGCGCCAGCAUCAUCGGCUUCAAACGCAGGCCCCUCAACCCACGGCACAUCGCGUUCUGGCGCAUGGGCGAUGAGGCGUUCUCGCAGUCCAUCGAGUCGAGGUGGAUUGACGAGGAGCUGGAACUGGAUGUGGUGGACCUCCUGUACAGCGGCCAUGGCGCUGGCGCCUUCCUCUUCCUCACCCGAGGGGAAAACAUCCGUGUGUUUCGUCAACCGAUAUUCCCUCUCGGAGACAUGCAGACGACAGUGCUCUACUUCGAGCGGCGCGGUGACGACGACGACGACGACGGGCGGUCCUUGAUCGCUACCUCGUGGAGUCCCGAGGGAAGCUGCUCAUGGUCGUCAGGUUAGGAGAUCGUGAGCCUGGCCGCUUGCCGACCACGACGUUCCGGGUGUUCGAGAGAGAAGACGAGCUGUUCAACAACUACUGGACCAAGCUGCCCGACCUUGGCGGCCGAAUGCUGUUCGUCGGAAGAGGCUGCUCCAGAUCGUACGAAGCGGCAGAUGGGUACCCCGGCAUGGAGGGCGUCUACUUCCUGGACGACCGGAGCUUCCACGACCCGAUGGUUGUGUACAAGGAUGCCGCCCAACGGCGUAUCCACUACACCAUGACACUAGAUUACCAACAUACAUCUGUCGGUAAAGAUAAAUAAUUAUUGAUAGACUAUUUGUUGGCAAAGGCUUUUGGCAAAUUAUAUGUUGGGAAUACUAUGUAAUAAGACAUAUUAUAUGUCAGCAAUUAUAAAUUUUUUUGGGGUCAAAAUAACUGUCAACAAUUUUAAGACUAGAAACCAAUUAUAUGUCAGGAAAACUUAAUGAUAAUCCAUCUGUCAGCAAUACUUCAUCCGUCAGAUCUUGAUUCAACGGCUAGGAUAGAGCGCGGUGAAAGCUCAGGCAGGAAAUAAAAAAAACCGCCGAUAUUCUGUGCGCCAAAAAAAAAACACGCCAAAAAAAACCCUAGCUAGGUCGCCGCCUCCUCUCCCCGCUUCCACCGCGCGCCGCCACCUCUCACCCUUCCACCGCGCGCCGCCUCCUCCCCUCGCUUCCACCGCGCGCCGCCACCUCUCCCCCUUCCACGCUCCUCCCCAUCCACCAGGCGCCGCCACCUCCUCCUUCACCAAAUCCGCCGCGCGCCGCCACCUCGCUCCCCAUCCACCGCGCCCCGCUUCCCCCUCCGCCUCGGCGAAAUCCUCCCACCUCCUCCACACCUUCCUCCAAGUCGGCGGCGGCGGCGAGUUCAAAGUUCGAAGCUGCAAGGUACGUGGUAGAAACGAAAUCAUAUUUUCCCGCAAGAUCAUCAUGAUGAUUUUCUAUGUGUGCCAUGCAGCGCGGUGGUUCCCUGAGCCAGAGAAGGUGUGUUUCGAUUUGGGAAGAAGAAGGCCUUGCUGUCCAGUGAGCAGGUACCUCAAUUAACUCUCGAUCUGAUUAGCUGUGUUUCUGAAUUCGAUGUGAUUGCAACAUGUACAGCAUUUCCUCCCUCUCCUAUUAGCUGCGAUGGCAAUAAGUUAAUCCCAUGCAUUUUUUCCCCUUGGAUUGAUGUGGUGUAGCUAGCUAGAUGUUUUUUUUUUUGGAUAUUAGCUUCUUUGGCUAAUCUACUCAGUGUACUGGAAAACAUCUCCGCAGACAUAGCCUGGAAAUAUGACAGACUAAGUUACAUAAUAAAAUUAAAAUAAUGCAACAUACCAAGUUGUUUCACACUUCAGAGUUAUGCACUUUGUUUUUUUCACUGCCACACUGUGAGUAUUCUGAAAUAAAUCCAAAAUUAGCAUGUUUAACCUUUAAAAAAUUUAGAUCAACAAGAUUUUUAUCAGAUUAGUACCUAUAUAUUCUCCCAUUAUUCUAUAAUCUGAGUACAUAAAAAUCAUACUAUUUAUACUUGGUAAGCUGCAAUGUAGUGUAUAUUGUCUCUAGCUCAGUUGCUUCAGGAAAAAAUACACUGCAAGAUUACUCAAGAGAAAGGGACCAAUAUCAUGUCUUAAUUUGUGUAUUUAGAAACUGGACUUGUACAUAGGCUGGAAAAAAAUCACAGUUGCUCAACUAUGUUUAUGCUACUGUUUGCUGAUUCUGUCAACUAAUAUAUCAACUAAUAUAUCAAAAGAUUACUGUGGACUCAAGUUGGACGUUAGCUAAUCAUCAUGGAUAAGGCGUGGAUGGAUGAGCCUAGGCACACACAAAUCUAUAUACAAGGAGUGGACAAUUUCCUUGAUUUUGCAUUUAGCAAGUCUGCAAUAGGAGAUAAAAUAUUAUGCCCAUGUAGAAAAUGUGUGAACUCAUCAUGGAAAAAUCGAAGUGACAUACGUGAGGACUUGAUAUGCGAUGGAUUUGUAAAGGGUUAUAGAACAUGGAUGUUUCAUGGAGAAACAAGUUCCUCUUUUGUUGAUAAUCAUGACAGUGAUGAGGUUGGCAGUGAGCACUCUAGAGAAGAUGAUGACAUUUCUGAUUUGGUUCGAGACUUAGCAUUUGGACUAGAUGAUCGAGGGGAAUUCGAAGAUGCUAGUAGUGAGCCCAUCAAUGAUGAUGAUUUAGAGGCUCUACAGAAGUUAGUAGAGGGUGCUAGUCAAGAAUUGUACCCAGGGAGCAAGAACUUUUCAAAGCUACGCUUUGUAGUACGGCUGCUGCAUACUAAAUUACUUGGGGGCUGGACAGAUAGAAGUUUUGACAUGCUGUUAGAUCUACUGAAUGAUGCCUUCCCGGAGGGGUCAGCACUACCUAAAAAUUACAAUGAAGCUAAGAAGUUGAUAAAAUCUCUAGGGCUUGGCUAUGUUAACAUUCAUGCAUGUAAAAAUGAUUGCAUUCUCUUCCACAAGGACCAUGCUAAUGAAGACGCAUGUCCAAAAUGCAAAACUUCAAGAUGGAAAUCAGAAACCAAGAGUCUUGAUGGGAAACGUGUACACAAGGUUCCUGUCAAGGUUCUUCGCUAUUUUCCGAUAAAGAGAAGGCUGCAGAGAUUGUUUGUGAACCAGAAAAUAGCAACUCUCACAAGGUGGCAUGAUGAAGGACGUAUACGAGAUGGUUUGCUUAGGCAUCCGGCAGAUUCACUUGCAUGGGAGGACUUUGAUCAGAAGCAUCCUGAGUUUGCUUCUGAUAGCCGCAAUAUUAGAUGUGCAUUAGCUACAGACGGUUUUAACUCAUUCAGGUCCAUGAACAUUAACUACAGUAUUUGGCCUGUUAUUUUGAUUCCUUACAACUUCCCACAUUGGAUGUGCAUGAAGCAACCAAAUUUCAUCCUCUCAUUGUUAAUACCUGGGCGUGAAGCUCCUGGUAGUGAUAUGGAUGUCUAUUUUGAGCCACUAGUUGAUGACAUGAAAGAUAUGUUUGUUGAAGGCAUUAGAACAUAUGACUCUUCUAGGUCUGAGUACUUCCAAUUGCGUGCUGCCAUAUUGUGGACCAUUACUGAUUAUCCGGGGCUAGGAUAUGUGGCAGGAUGCACUACCUCUGGUGAAGGAGCAUGCCUUGAUUGCCACUCUUAUACUUGUUCGCUGUUUUUAAAGAACGGGAGCAAGACAUGCUACAUGGGUCAUCGUAGGUUCUUAGAUGCAAACCAUGAAUUUAGGUUUGAUGCCCAUUCAUUUGAUGGUCUUACUGAGCUGCGGCCAGCACCUAAACCACUGAACCAGCGGCAUGAUCAUGUAUUUAUAUUAGGGCAAAUAACCUCACUUGAAACAACUAGUGAUCACUCAAUAGUUUACCUUGUGAGUGAUAGGAACAAUAUACAAAAUGCUGAAUCAGUACUACAAACUUUUUUUUCAUGAGUGUUUUAUAAAUUGCAUGGCAAUUUGAGUGUGGAACCAUGAAAACAUUCAUAGACAUGAUCACUUAACUGAACACUUCUUGGUGACAAGUGAAAUGCCAUUGUAUCUGCAAUGAUUAGUUCAUUUGAGUCCUCUCCAUGAGGGUUAUACUUAACAUUGUAUCUGCAAGGUAUUGUGGUCUAUUGGACCUUGGUACUCCCAUCACUGACUGUCCUGUUUGUAGGUGUGUCUACAUUUUUGCAUAGCAUGUAAUGUUUUGUCAUUAUUGGGGCAUCUGAAUCUGUACAGUUCAUUGAUUAUAGCAUUGGAUGUUAGCUUACAUAUAUUGAUGAUAGUAGUUCUGAAGUCUAUCAAUAUAGUAUUCCCUUAUCAUGUGCUAUCAUGUGCUGCUUCUAUGAAAAAAAUAGUCCAUGGAACUGUUAGAUGAAAAAAAUUGGGCUUUCACAUAUGGUGGCAGUAUCUUCUAUACUGUUUACAUUUUUUAUUUCAGCAAAGGGAAUGUGAUAUUGUGGACUGAAGCAUAGCUUUCCUUAUUUUGCAGGCAACCAUAAAAAGGGCUAGCAGAGGUGCUGAAAAAAAAACCAAGAACCUACAAGAACCAUAAAAGAGAUGAUUUGUAUUGUUUUUGGGACCUCGAUACACCUACAAGAACCUUAGUUGCAUCUAAGUUAUGUAAUUAUUGCUAUGUACUUGAAGAACUCCAUUAUAUCUAAGUUGGACAUUUAUGUAAUAGCUAUUUGAGCUGAUGGACAACUGCUAUUUGUAUCAGAAUACUGCUAUUGUGAUACUGGUACUUGAAGGCUACUUGAUGGAUGAACAAUAGUUAUGAAUAGUUUAAUAUUGUGUUAUGCAUGUGUGUAACUUACUAAAAGUGAUAAUCUCUGUUGCAAAAUUUGGAGUGGUAUUCAUCCAUGUAUGUUGCAAAUUUAAUUUGAGGUAUGGUUCAUAAAAUGGAUGCUAAUAGGUAAUUAGUAUAUUUUUUUGUGUGGAUUACCGACUGAUUGCUUGUAAGUUAUUGUGCUAGCCAUCUAUACAUUAAUUGUCGGCAAAUCUAUAACACAAUGAUAUGCUAUCUGUUGGGAAUCUUCUUAAGUGUCGGUAAAUGCCCAUCUGUUGGUAAAACUAUCUGUCGGUAAAUAUGUAGCAACACUAUCAGUCUAUCUGUCAGCACAUAUUUAUCUGUCGGGAAAGACCUUUGCCGGCAGCACUUGGCCUGACAGACCCUAUCUGUCGGGAAAAGUUUUGCUGACAAAUAAUUUGACAGCAUAUAGGUCCUUUCCUGACAGAUAUGUAGUAAGCAAACUAGGGGCAUGGUGUAGUGAUCCCUGCAGCGACAACGGGAGAUGGUCGGGAGCACCGCCACCAGCGGAGGUAGAGCGCUGCUUCCCAGAGCAAGGUCCGUCGAACUACUCCCCUCCGGUUUGGAUUCUCCCAUGAGGCACACGACACAUGUUUUUGGUUGUUGAAAUUGUUGCCGGUGAUCAGGCUAGUCUGUGAUCGUUGCUAAGCUUUCAUGCCUUCAUCAGCAUGUACUGUGUUAGUGUGUUUGUUCGUUGAGUUUGGAUGGUUUUCUCAUGUUAAAAUUGUUACUGGUGUAAGCUGAAGCAGGAUUGCUCAAUUCAGUGGAGAAAUUGAUCUGCAGGUGACUUGCCGUUCACUUAGUUUCUGUCUGCAUGUUUUUUCACAAAUUUGCAUUUCAAUUCAAGCUUCUUUUACUGAAGUUGCAGUGUUCACAAAUGUCUUGGGAAUUGGAAAAUGCAGAUAGUUCUGUUUCUUUAUGAUCGAUAGUUGUAACAUGAUGCAGCGCUAAUGAUCUGCAGUGCUGAAUUUAGUAGCACUAGCUGGCAGAAAUAUAACAUGUAGUAGGAUUGACCUUAUUCCACUUCAUUGUUUCUUUUACUUGUUAGUAACUAUCUCUGCAGUACAGUAUUAUUAGCUGAACAAAACUCAUUUUCGAACAAAAUUCACUUGCAGAUAGCUAGCCAGCAAUGAUGGAUGCGUAGUUUAUUUGCACCUUUUGCUGCCUUAAGUGCCUUUUCCCCUUCUGAUUUUGGAUUCCACCUGAUAAUUUCAGUGUGGAUAAGUGCAUGUUUGUGCUCAGAUUUUGUCAGAACACAUCCUUUUUUGGUGGAUGUCCUUUGAUUUGUCCGAAGUGAAUUUGCAUGCAGUCAAAUUUAGUUGUAAACUCUAGCUGUCUACUUAGGCCGUGCUUAGUUUCCCCCCUAUUCCCAACUUUCCAUUACAUCAUAUCACAUAAAAAACUUUCCUAUACACAUAAACUUCCAACUUUUUUUUUCCAAACUCCCAACUUUCUUCAAACUUCCAACUUUUUUCAGGAACUAAACACACCCUUACCCUUGCAGUGAACUGAGAAUGUGAAAACAUUGAGUUCUUCGGGUGUGUUUAGUUUACGCUAAAAUUAGAAGUUUGGAUGAAAUUAGAACGAUGUGAUGGAAAAGUUGGAAGUUUGUGUGUGUAGGAAAGUUUUGAUGUGAUGGAAAAGUUAGAAGUUUGAAGAAAAACUUUGGAACUUAACUCGGCCUUAGCUCAAGUGCAGAAUCCAGAUGGUCUGAAAUAUGAAUGUUGGAUGCCCGGUGCUUCAUGCGUCUCUGUUAUACAAACCGGUGUGCAUCCAUAAUAGUAGCACACUAUUCUUCCAACUUUUCCAUGCAUUUUCCACUUUGGUUCUUCUGAUAGACUAAAUAGCAGCUUGGUUCAUUUCUCUGAAGUUAUAGUUUGCUGCGUGUGGCUGGCCUUUUGAAUUGGCCGUUAUAACUGAACAUUGUUAGCAUAUUUUGUUCCUUCUUUCUGGUUUUGGAGCCCAAAAUUGUCUUUCUGCUUACGAUAUACUAAAUGUUGUCUUUCUGCAUGAAGAUGCGGAUACUGUAGCACAUCCGGCAGACCGAGCCUGGCUGUUUCUUUUUCUCGGUUUAAGAUUUUCAUGUUUUGAUAUCUCACUCUACAUAUAUCAUCUGUCACUUUGUUUUCUGACGCAAGAAGAUAGAGCAUGCUCUACCUUAUAGUCAUUUCAUUGAUAGAAAUGAAGAUUAUGCGUUCACGAAUAGAAAUGAAGAUUACAGAGAUUAUUAUACAAGAAUAGAGGUUAUAAAGGAAGCAUAAGGAAGAGAGAAGUAAGACAAUGAUAGAGGGGAGGAGGAGGGUGGUGGGAUGGAUUUACAGAGGUAUAUACACUGGGCUGUACCCUAGGAAAGCCUUGAACACCAAGAUAUUUUGCCUGGUUCUCUCAUUGGCCCUAUGAUUCCAUAGUUCCAGAAUAUCGGCGAUCUGCUGUGUUAUAUAUUGCAGGUGAUCUAUUUGUCCUUCAAAGAUCCUAUUGUUGCGAGAUUUCCACAGCUUGUAUGCACAUGCAGCAAACCAUAUUGGUUCUAUUCCACUUGUUGAGUGAUUCCUGUCCAUGACAGCUUGUAUGAAAGUCGGGGCUGACUUGGACUUGUUGGCUAGCUGUAGUAAAUCCAAUUUUUUCCAUAGGUUGUUGGCAUUCUUGCACCUUAAGAGAAUAUGAUCUGCUGAUUCAAGGGCAGGGCAGAUGUUGCAGUGGGGGUUGUCAUCCCAGUUCUUUUUGACCAUAUUGGCUUUAGUGUUCAGUCUAUCUUUGAAUGCCAGCCACAAGAAGAUUUUGCAAUUCAAUGGGAUUGUGUUGAGCCAGAUGUAGUCAGCCAGUUUCCAAAGGGAUCCAUGGUAAGUCAGUAAGUGAUAUGCAUUUGCAGUUGAGAUCUUAGGAGCAGGGUAUAGGAGUUCUCUUGUGUCCGUUACCUCCGGGAUGGGUGUGAUGUCUUGUAGGAUGUGCAACAGUGUUUCCAGCUCUGAUUCUGCUUGGUAGGAGUGGUUGGGGUGGAGCUAUAUUUCCCAGGAAUUUUGUUGAAAUUGUGAUUGUAUCGUGCAUUAUGUGUUCACAGCGUAUGAGAACAAAAUUGGGUAGGCAGAUUCCAGGCGUUGUGCCAGCCAUUCGUCCUUCCAAAAUAGAGUUGUUCUGCCAUCUCCUAUCUUUACAUGUGUUGUUGAGCUUAGGAUUUGAAAGUGUGACAGAAUAAGUUUCCAAGUUGGUGUAUCACUGGUUUUGGGCUACAGCUGUAUACUAUUUUGUAGAUAUCUUUUCCUGAACCAGUUGGCCAUUAUUGGGUCAUCUGAGCCUGUGAGCACUUUGUUACCUAAUUUCAAAAUCAAUGCUGUGUUAUGUGCCCUCAGGUCCUUAAUCCCUAAUCCUCCUUGCUGUUUUUCUAGCAGUACUGUCUUCCAAGCAACUAGGCAUUGACCUCCUUUUACUGAUUUCUCACCUUUCCAAAAGAAGGGACGUCUUUGCUUAUCUAUUGCCUCAAUGAAUUUAUCUGACCAUAAGCAACAAGCCAUGUAGUAUGUUGGAAUGGAUGAUAUCACAGAAUUUAUCAUGGUUAGUCUUCCUCCUGUGGACGGAGGCAUCCAACCAGCUAGAUAUCUGUCGACCUUUGAGAUGACUGGUACUAACAUGUUAUGUGUAAUUUUUGUCAUGUUAUGUGUAAUUUUUGUGGUUGACAGGGGCAGCCCAAGGUAACUGCACGGUAGGGAGCUUGGACACUGCAGAUUUGUGUUACUAGUUCCUUGGUUAAAUCAUUCAGGUGUAUUGGAACAAGAGUGCUCUUAUGGUAGUUGAUCUGUAGGCCUGAAAAGCUUGCAAACGAAUCCAGAAUUUCUUUGAGUGUUGUUGCUUGAUCCGCAUCUCCUUUUAUGAGAAUCAAGGUAUCGUCUGCGUAUUGCUGUGUUGGUGAUUCACCUUCAAUAUCUAGGGGGUGAAUUAAGACGACUGUGCUGUAUGCCCGUUGGAUCAUUUUUUGUAGAACGUCUGCAACUGGUAUGAAUAGGUAUGGUGAUAAAGGGUCCCCUUGACAGACUCCCCUUCUGUAUAGAAUUUGUUCUCCCUUUUCUCUGUUGAUGAUAAUUAACCUGAGCUUUUCCUGUGCAGAGUAGAGAUUUCAUCCAACAAAUCCAUUUAUCCGGAAACCCUCUUACCCCAAGAACAUUAAACAGAGCGUCCCACCUGACCGUAUCAAAUGCCUUGUGGAAGUCAAGCUUGAGUACUAUUAUUGGUUUCUUCUUCUUUAGGGCUGAUUGUACCAUUUCUAAGACGAGAAUGAAGUUUUCAUGGAUACAUAUGUUUUUUAUGAAGCCUGAUUGCAUGGGGUCAAUUAACUUGAUUAUUUCCAUCUGUAACCUGUUGGUUAAGGUCUUGCUGAGAAGUUUUGGUACACUGUGUAGCAGGGAUAUAGGUCUGGAAUCCUUGAUUUGAACUGCUUUUGCUGUUUUUGGUAAAAGGGUAAUAUAAGACUGAUUAACUCUAGACAGGUCGAUGUUAUUGUCAAACAUGUCUUGAAAGAUUACUUGUAGAUCAGGCAAUAACUUAUUGAGGAAACGCUUGUAGAAUUCGUUUGUUUUUUUUUUUUUUUGCGGGGGGUAGAAUUCGUUUGUUAAUCCAUCGGGCCCAGGGCUCUUGUUUCUUGGUGCACUGUGGACGAUCCUGAUAGGUUGACACCAGCUCUGAAGGUUUUCUUGUUGAGGGUAGAGCAGAGACGGGGGGAAAUUUCCAUCAGACGUUGAGGAUUCACUGAACAGAGGAUGAAAGAACGAAGUUGCAAUGUCCAGUUUUUUGUUGUUGUCUUAAUGUUCUACCACAUUGUCCAUCAGUAAUUUCAUGCAAUUUUUUUGCCUGUUGACUGAUGCCACUAUGUGAUAAAAUCUUGUAUUUUCGUCUCCUAGAGUGCAGAAUCUUAUUCGGGCUCUUCUUUUCCAUUUUAGUGUGAUGAAGCCAUUCAGGUCUUUGAUGUUUUUUUGCAACCUCUGACGAAGGUAGAAUUCUAAAUCGGUGAGUUGGCGCCAUUCUUCAACUUUGUCCAGGUAGUCCACUAUCUCUUUGUUAGCUGACAGAAGUGUUGGGAGGUUGCGCCUGCUCUUGUUCCAGGCUUUCGCAUUAGCUCGCAGAUGUUUGAUUUUGUGAUUGAAUUGGGUGAUUGUUAUCAUGGGUCUUGUUCCAUUAUUCCAGUUAGUUUCAGCCAAGGUAACGGACUCUGAUAUUUGCAACCAGAUGUUUUCUAGACGGAAGAUGGCUGAGUGAGAACUGUUUGAAAAUUCAGCUAGUACAUGUAUAUGGUCUGAAGUUGUAGCCAUAAGUGCUCGAGCUGAACAGUUGUCGAAAGUUUGUAUCUAUCAAAACUCUGUCUAAUUUUACCAAUGUGGGAUAUCUUCUUUUGUUUGACCAAGUGAACCUUCUGUUUGGAAUGUCAAGAUCUAUUAGACCCUCUUCAUUUAUUCAAUAAUUAAAAUUUUCCAUUCCUCUUGUAUUUAUACUGUCAUUGCUUUUUUCAUGUGGGUAUCUGUAGAUGUUAAAAUCGCCAAUACACAUCCAGGGACCUUGGUUUGUUGAUCUGAAGGCAGUGAGAAGAUGAAAUAGGUUUUGCCUGUCUGAAUCAUUAUGGGGAGCAUAAAUGUUGGUGAUCAGGAAGGUUGUUCGAUCUGUUGUGGACUGGAAGGAGCAUGACAGGGCCAAAUCGCUUCUUUCUUUCAAGGUGGCAUUGAACUUGAUGCAGUUCCAUGCUGUGAUUAAGUCCCCAACAAAGCCAUUGGAAGGUUGCCAGUGGAAGCUUCUUAGGAAGUUUGGAAGGAUUGUCGGAACUGUGAAUCUAUCCAAAGUGUGCAACUUGGAUUCCUGAAUGCAGAUAAUAUCUGGCUUGUGCUCUAAUACUGUUGACAGCACUAGUUGUCUCUUAUCUUUGUCACCAAGUCCUCUUACAUUCCAAGAGAGGAAUUUCAUUGCGAUUGUGCCGGUACUCCGGGGAAACAUGCGAAAAAACAACGAGAGGUCCGGUAGCCAAAAAACCUCCUUGGGUCUUAGCAUCCCUGUGGAGAUUAUGGAUACCCCAUACCUACACGGCAUGUAUAGUCCGACUGGGUAUGGGGUGCCAUGUAUAAAUAGAAUAUCUUUAAAAGGACUCGGGUUGAAUUCCAAACUUGUGCGUCAAGAAAAUACCCAGGAUCCUAGUUGGUUACAAUUGUAUCUUAUCUGUAAUUACGUAUUCCGUUAGGGAUAUGGACUGUGCUUUGUAAUACGGACCCCUUCCCCGAUAUAAGGAGGGGUCCGGGUGCCUCUAGGGGCACGAUUUUCUUCCAGAUCAUACGAUCAAUAAUAUACUCGGCGGAUCAAUCCCCGGACAGGAGUAGGGUAUUACUUCUUGAUUAAGAAGGCCUGAACCUGUAUAAAAUUCCUUGUCUCUAAACCUAUCCACUUUUCUAGCUUGAUAGCCACCCCCUAUUAGUAUUGCUGAAAUCUUGUUUCGACAGUUGGCGCGCCAGGUAGGGAUAGCCUCAAGUUCUUCGCCGACUAGUGCGAUUGGUUUCGUCUCCGACAUCGACGACUUUGUCUUCCCACCCGGGCAGGCAUUCCGGUUCGGCAGCCUCGACUUCAUCACCAACGACUUCAGCAAGAUUUAUCUCCUCGACUCGGAUUCGAACCAGUCGGGAAGAGGCCAGGCCUCCGCCCCAUUUGGUAUCCCGAACUAGGCUGAGAUAUACCCCAAGAUCAUCUCAACCAAGUUGGCCCCAAACCACUGGGACGAGAUCCAAUCUACUACAACACGACCUGAUCAAGACGAUGGAGCCUAUCCGCCAAUCCUGACGAAACUCCCCGAUGAUUUGGUUGCCAUCUUCACCACAAGGGCGUCUUCUCCCCGUAGGUCUAGGCCGGAUCCGGCCUCGGCCCCGAUCCAGUCUAGCUCCAGGGAAGUGGGCGUCAUACUCCAGCCUCUCGGCACAGUUUCGACGGAACAACUGGACGGCUACCUCAGCUCCCCCGGUGUCGACUCACGACCAACGGAGAUCGUAGAGUACGACGACUUCGGCUACCGCUACGACUAUCGCAACCUCGACGACUUCGACGAAGGCUUUGAAGAUAACUACAUGCCCCUCUACUUCGGCAUUUUUAUGGCCGACAACGAGACAGAAGGACAGCGUAAAGCCCGAGAAGCAGAAGAGCAGCGCGUGCGACAAGAAGCCGAACGACGCCGACUGGAGGAGGAGCGCCAAGCACAAGAGCGAGAACGGCUGCAGCGUGAGCAACAGGAGCGCGAGCGGGCUGCAAAGGAGGCCAAGGACCGGCGACAGCGUGCUUUGGAUGCCAGGCGACGAGCACGAGAACUCAUUGGGCAGCAAGACGUCGAGGGAACGGCGGUUUUCCGCACCCCUCAACAGAACGCGGUUGCAGCGAUCACCCUCCUUGACACCCUCCUCAAGGAAGACGCACUCAAUCAAGCCAACCACAUCGUCAACAUCUUGAAUCAGACCAAGACCAUGAUCGCAGCUUCGGUCCCAGUUAACUCUGCAAGCGUCCGCACGACGACGGGCAGCCGAGUUCCCCCUCUUCGAUCUCAAGACUAUCACCAACCAAGGCUCAGCGUCAUCGGCGCGGGAUCCAGUCGCAGGAACAGGGAUCACGACGAGCGAUCCGUCCACUCGCCUCCUGAUCAGCGCAGGGAGCGUCGAGCUGAACGUCCCCGCUCCCCACACCGCAGGCGUCCCAUCGAUCUUCGCGAGACUAUCAACCAGCGCCGCGCGGCGAGGGGCUAUGUACCACACCAUUCACCAGAUCGCUACGACGACGACGUGGAUGGAGUUGCUGCCUUCACAAGCGACCUGCGUCGAGUGGAUUGGCCAGCUGGCUUUAAGCCGACUGGAAUCGAGAAGUAUGACAGCACCACCAACCCUGAGUCUUGGCUCACCGUCUACAGUCUCGCAAUUCGCGCAGCAGGAGGAGACAGCAAAGCUAUGGCAAAUUAUCUGCCCGUGGCCCUAGCGGAUUCUGCCCGGUCCUGGCUUCACGGGCUACCCCGCGGCACAAUCGGAUCUUGGGCGGAACUCCAUGACCACUUCAUCACCAAUUUCUAGGGUACUUUUGAACGCCCUGGCACCCAGUUCGAUCUUUAUAACGUUGUUCAGAAGUCUGGGGAAUCUCUCCGAGAUUACAUCCGAUGUUUUUCAGAGCAACGCAACAAGAUCUCCGACAUCACCGAUGACGUCAUCAUCGCCGCCUUCACCAAGGGCAUUCGCCACGAUAACUUAGUCGGUAAGUUUGGACGCAAGCCUCCCAGGACGGUCAAGCAGAUGUUUGAAAAAGCCAAUGAGUACGCCAAAGCCGAAGAUGCCAUCACCGCAUCCAAGCAGUCGGGCACCACUUGGAAGCGGAAGAACGAUACGCCCACCACAGGGGGGAGUGGAAGUACCAAUCACAAGGAUCGCAAGCGUAAGCCCGAGGAACUUGUGGCAACCACUACACCAUCCUCCCAACAACGUUCGCGCGUCAACACUUUCGACGAAAUCAUGAAAUCCCAAUGUCCGCAUAAUCCAAAUUCUAAUCAUGCAGCCAAAGAUUUCUUCGUCUACAAAUAGUUCAUAGAGCAAUACGCCAAGAACGCACACAAGACAACUGACGGAGAUCAAAGCACGUCAAAGAAGGAUGAUAAAGACGAUGCCCCGACUGGUUUUCAAGACCAUCGCAAGGAACUCAACCACAUCUUUGGCGGACCCCUGGCUUACGAAUCCAAGCGAAAGCAAAAGCUGACCGAACAGGAGAUCAAUGCUGUUCAGCCUGACACGCCCCAAUACCUUCGGUGGUCAGAGACAGUAAUUAAAUUUGACCGCUCAGAUCAUCCUGACCGAGUGGUCCACCCGGGGCGUUACCCCAUGGUACUAGACCUAGUGGUUCGCAACGUCAAGCUCCGACGAUCCCUCGUUGAUGGUGGCAGUGCACUCAAUAUCCUUUUCGCUAAGACUCUGGACGAUAUGCAGAUCCCUAACACAGAAUUGAAGCUGAGUAAUGCGCCCUUUCAUAGAGUCAUCCUCGGGCUAUCUUCUACUCCACUCGGCCAGAUCACUUUGCCUGUUACUUUCGGCACUCGGGAGAACUUUCGCACAGAGAACAUCUGCUUCGAAGUCGCUGAUUUUGAAACAGCCUACCACGCCAUACUCGGACUACCGGCGUUAGCCAAGUUCAUGGCUGUCCCGCACUACACCUACAUGAUGAUGAAGAUGCCAGGUCCUCAAGGAGUCAUAUCCCUGCGGAGCGACAUCAAGCAAGCCGUCACUUGCGACAAGGAAAGCUGCAAGAUGGCUCAGACCCGCGAGAUCACGCUCGCCCGAGAAGAAAUCCGACUGGCUGCGUCCACAGCAACCGAAGGAGAAGUGCCUGCAACCAAGAUGACAAAGAUUGGAGAAGGCGACGCCAAGACCAAGAAGAUUCCUCUAGAUCCCUCCGAUCCUACUAAGACUGUUGUAAUAGGCGUUGAGUUAGAUUGUAAAUAGGAAAACGCGCUCAUCACCUUUCUUCAAAAUAAUAAAGAUAUCUUUGCGUGGAAAUCAUCUGAUAUGCCUGGUUUUCCUAAAGAGGUGAUUCAGCACUCUUUACAUGCUAAGGAAGAUGCUAAACCUAUCAAGCAACUACUCCGCCGUUUCACAAAAGAUAGAAAGGACGCGAGCAAGGAGGAAUUGACCAAGCUGUUAGUAGCAGGCUUCAUCAAGGAAGUCCUUCAUCCCGACUGGCUGGCCAAUCCACUCCUGGUUCGGAAGAAGACGGGGCAAUGGCGCAUGUGUGUUGACAACACCGACCUCAACAAGUCUUGUCCCAAAGAUCCGUUCGGGUUACCUCGCAUUGACCAGGUAGUUGACUCAACGGCCGGCUGUGAGCUACUCAGUUUUUUGGAUUGCUACUCAGGAUAUCAUCAGAUCCGACUAAAGGAGUCCGACUGCUUAAAGACUUCAUUUUUUACACCCUUCGGGGCCUAUUGCUACAUCACCAUGCCUUUUGGAUUGAAGAAUGCAGGAGCAAUUUAUCAACGCAUGAUCUAGAGAUGCUUUUCAACUCAGAUCGGACGUAACGUUGAAGCCUAUGUUGAUGAUGUGGUCGUCAAGACCAAGCAGAAGGAUGAUUUUGUCACGACCGGAAAUAACCCAACGGGCGUUCCUUACGUGCGUGCAUUAAUCCUUGUCCCAGGAGGCAAGGUACACCAAAAGUUGAUACAAUUCAGAGUUUAACAAGCGGAAGCGUAAAUAGUUAAUCUAUUACAUGGGCAGCCAAGGCCCAGCACACACAAAGACAAACGAGAAACAGCGGAAGACUAGGGCGACGACCACAGGCACUUGACGGCAGGCACGAGCUAGACACCGAAGCCUUCAUCCUCCAGGAACUCCUCUUCUGGGUUUGGGAAAAAUUGAGCAAGACUGAGUACAACCACCGUACUCAACAAGACACACCCACAAGUGCAGAAUAAAUGCAAGGGAGUACAAAGGAGUUAUACUAUAAAGGGUUAGGGUUGCAGUAAACAGCAUUUAAAGACAUUAGUUGCUCAGGGCUAUUUUGCAAACACGAUUCUAGUACUAUGCAAUAUUAUUUAUCAAGGCCGUGAACCCACACGAACCUGCCUUAACCCAAGGCCUACGAUGAUUCAGACCGAACUGGCAACCCGACCCUGGGUCCCAGCUCGUCCCAAGCCAACCCAUGCCAACCAUUCCACAUUUUAGUUGUUAAGCAGGUUUUAAGAAUUAAAACACUAACUUGGGUACAUUGCUCGGCUUGCCCAUAACCGAGGGCGCGGCUAUUCGAAUAGAUUAUACUCUGAUCAGAGGUGUACAUCUUUACCCACAAGACACAUCUUCCUCACGUGUAACCACGUGCCACAUACCACCACUGUCACGACCGGAAAUAACCCAACGGGCUUUCCUGACGUGCGUGCAUUAAUCCUUGUCCCAGGAGGCAAGGUACACCAAAAGUUGAUACAAAUCAGAGUUUAACAAGCGGAAGCGUAAAUAGUUAACUUAUUACAUGGGCAGCGAAGGCCCAGCACACACAGAGACAAACGAAAAACAGCGGAAGACUAGGGCGACGACCACAGGCGCUUGACGGCAGGCACGAGCUAGACACCAAAGCCUUCAUCUUCAAGGAGCUCCUCUUCUGGGCUUGGGAAAAAUUGAGCAAGACUGAGUACAACCACCGUACUCAACAAGACACACCCACAAAUGCAGAAUAAAUGCAAGGGAGUACAAGGGAAUUAUAAUAUAAAGGGUUAGGGUUGCAGUAAACAGCAUUUAAAGACAUUUAGUUGCUCAAAGCUAUUUUGUAAACACGAUCCUAGAACUAAACAGUAUUAUUAAUCAAGGCCGUGAACCCACACGAACCUGCCUUAACCCAAGGCCUACGAUGAUUCAGACCGAACUGGCAACCCGACCCUGGGUCCCAGCUCGUCCCAAGCCAACCCAGGCCAACCAUUCCACAUUUUAGUUGUUGAGCAAAUUUUAAGAAUUAUAACACUGACUUGGGUACAUUGCUCGGCUUGCCCAUAACCGAGGGCGCGGCUAUUCGAAUAGGUUUUACUCUGAUCAGAGGUGUACAUCUUUACCCACAAGACACAUCUUCCUCACGUGUAACCACGUGCCACAUACCACCACGGUAUACAGACGGAAGACGUGACAUAGUUUCCAACCCAUCCUAGCCAUAGACAAGAGUACCGACCCAAUCCCGCCUACGGCCGGAAUCCCCGGGACAGGCAGGCAGGACUGAGCCCCUAGCAGCAGGGCACCAACCCUCUGCCGUAUGACAUCUCGACUACCGGGCCGCAGCUCGUGUAGCCUUCAUUUGCCCUGGAGAAUGUCCAUCGACCCCCGACUUCAUCCAUCUCCAAUCCGUGUACUUUUGUUUAUGACUAGCCUGAGCCACAAACUAAGCCUUACCCACUAGACAUGUGGAAGUACGGUAGUGCUUUGCAACAGAGGCCCGAGCUUAAUCCUUAUAGUGGCCGGGGUGCUACUUCCCACAACUGGCAUGCACCCAAACCCCACCGAAAACAGGUUUUAGGGGUUUUGAAAGAGGAAGAGAGGUGUGUGUCCAAUUCCAACAUAAGCCAACCAUUCCAUAGUGUCCAAAUGAUAUGAGAAUAACCCAAAGUCUAGAGUUGUAAAACCGCCUAAUGUUACCUAAUUAAAUUGCGAAGCAUCUACCUAAAAUUAAACUAGUGGUGCCAUGAGUAGAGUGUCCACUAGUUGAGGUUUUGUUUGCUCUAGGGUGAACAAGGGAAUAAUAAUAACAAUAGCAAUAAUAAGGUCAUAACAAAGGUAAAUAGGCAUGGCUAAAUAAAACAGUGAUAACGCGGGAAUUUAAAUAAAGCGAUAAUGCAAUAAUUUAAAUCAACAUAAUUUUACAAACUGGGAUUCAAUAUGUUCAAAGAUGAUGUGACUUGCCUUGCUCGCUUUCCCAACCGACGGCUUCGACUUCCACGAAGAGCGGAUCUUCCGAAGCUGCAGCGUCUACACGACCAACGGAAAAGAAAAAGGCUUUUACUCUAAUAAACUCCACACAACAACAGAAACAAAGCACAAAAAUGGGUUCUUGACUUCUUAAGGAAAAAUUAGAGACUUGAACGGUCCAAUUCCGAGUUCAAAUGGCCAAGAUAUGGCCAUUUGAAGUUUAUAUGCUCUUUAAUGGAUAUUUGCGGAUUUCUUCAUUUAAAGUUUUAAUUAAAAAAUCUCAUUUAUUGCGUCAGCCGAGGGAGGGGGCGCGCGGACCGGGUCCACGGGAGUGGGGCCCACGCGUCAGCCUCUCGGUCCACGGUGGACCGGGUGCACACGGCUGACGGCGGCCGGUGCCGUGGGUCCCACGCGUCAGCCGCACCCGCGGGCGCGGGCGGCUGACGGCCGGGCCCACUUGGCAGCCGCGAGGGCACGCCCGAAGGCGGCCUCGCCGGCACGGCCGACGGGAGGGGGACGCGCCCGCGCCCCGAUGGUCACCGCCGGCGACCACCGGCGCGGCGGAGCGGCACCCGAGAGAGAGGAGGGAAGGGGGAAGCGAAUGGAGCGGUCUUCGGCUCACCCCGGUCGACGGCGAUGACGGGAACGGCGGCCGAAGCGGAAGAAGGCGGCGGCGCGGUUCGGGACGACGAGGACGACGGCGCUCCGUCGGUCGGCGAGCGAAACGGAGGCGCGGACGAGGUCGACGGGAACGCGGUGAAGCCGAUGGAGGUGACGCCGAGUGGGGAGGAAGUCCGGAGCGACGGCGGCGGCGAACCGGAGCUUGUCGGCGACGGCGGAGAGAGAGGAAAGCGGCGCGAGCGCGUUUCCGACGGUGAGAGCGAGCGGCGAACGGCGGAAACGGAGGAGAGAGGCACGGGAGACGUUUAAAUAGGGCCGAGAGGAGGAGAGAGCGGCCGGAGGAGAUGGAAACCGGCGCGGAGAUCUCGGCCGCCAUUGAUUGCGCCGGCGAACUUUGCGGGCAUGAAUCGGGACGAAUCCGAGGGAGAGAGAGAGGGGAAAGUGGGGGAAUCGGGAGAGGGAAUCGCGGGGAAUAUUUCCCCCCUCUUUAUGGCGCGCGGGGACGGCGGGAUGCGGCGGAAUCCGCGGCGGCGGCGGCGCUAGGGCACGGGCGAGCGGCGGACGCGGCGGGAGGAAGGCGAUGACAGGUGGGUCCCACCCGUCAGCGAGGGUGGCGGGCGGGCCCGCCUGUCAGCGGCGCGCGCGCUGGGAGGAGCCGAUGGGCCGCGGGGGAAAGGAGAGAGAGAGGGAAGAGAAGUGGGCCGAGCCGGCCCAAGAAAGGAAGGGGGGGAGAAAGAGGACUUCUUUUAGGGUUUUUCUUUUGAUAAACCUUUUCAACUUUGUUUAUUUCUUCUCAAUUAUUAUUUGUGCUCUGAAAAUUCCACUAAAAUUUAUUUACGCAUUUUAGGCUUCUAGGAAAUAUACAAAAAUCCUCCAAGCCUCAUUUGACUUUUAUCUUUGCACAUUUUAAUUGUUGGAGGCUUUCACAUGAAUUUUAAUUAUUCUUUGCACAAUUUCGAGGAUGUAUUUUAGAGUCGAUUUGGGACGUGACAACCACGGUAUACAGACGGAAGACGUGACAUAGUUUCCAACCCAUCCUAGCCAUAGACAAGAGUACCGACCUAAUCCCACCUACGGCCGGAACCCCCGGGACAGGCAAGCAGGACUGAGCCCCUAGCAGCAGGACACCGGCCCUGUGCCAUGACAUCUCGACUACCGGGCCGCAGCUCGUGUAGCCUUCAUUUGUCCUAGAGAUGUCCAUCGACCCCCGACUUCUUCCAUCUCCAUCCGUGUACUUUUGUUUAUAACUAGACUGAGCCACAAACUAAGUCUUACCCACUAGACAUGUGGAAGUACGGUAGUGCUUUGCAACAGAGGCCCGAAGACCGGUCCUUAUAUGGCCGGGGUGCUACUAUCAAAACCAUGCACCCCGAGCCCAGCCUAAAACCAUUUUUGGGGAUUUUGAAUAGAAGGAGCGGUGUGAAGCCAAUUCCACAAUAACCAAACCAUUCCAUAGUGUCCAGGUGAUAUGAAUAUUCCCAAAGUCUAGAGUUGUAAAACCGCCUAAUGUUACCUAAUUAAAAGCGAAGCAUCUACCUAAAAUCAUACUAGUGAUACCAUGAGUAGAGUGUCCACUAGUUGGGGUUUUGUUUAAUCUAGGGUGAACAAGGAAAUAAUAACAAUAACAAUAAUAAUAUGGUCAUAACAAAGGUAAAUAGGCAUGGCUAAAUAAAACAGUGAUAACGCGGGAAUUUAAAUAAAGCGAUAAUGCAAUAAUUUAAAUCAACAUAAUUUUACAAACUGGGAUUCAAUAUGUUCAAAGAUGAUGUGACUUGCCUUGCUCGCUUUCCCAAACGUCGGCUUCAACUUCCACGAAGAGCGGAUCUUCCGAAGCUGCAGCGUCUACACGACCAACGGAAAAGAAACGGAUUUUACUCUACUAAACUCCAUAUAACAAGCAGAAACAAAGCACAAAAAUGGGUUCUUGACUUCUUAAGGAGAAAUUAGAGACUUGAACGGUCCAAUUCCGAGUUCGAAUGGCCAAGUUAUGGCCAUUUGAAGUUUAUAUGCUCUUUAAAUGGAUAUUUGCGAAUUUCUUCAUUUAAAUUUUAAUUUAAAAUCGGAUUUAUUGCGUCAGCCGAGGGGAGGGGCGCGCGGACCGGGUCCACGGGAGUGGGGCCCACGCGGCAGCCUCUCGGUCCACGGUGGACCGGGUGCACGCGGCUUACGCCGGCCGGCGCCGUGGGUCCCACGCGUCAGCCGCACCCGAGGGCGCGGGCGGCUGACGGCCGGGCCCCACAUGGCAGCCGCGGGGCGCGCCCGAAGGCGGCCUCGCCGGCACAGCCGAUGGGAGGCGACGCGCCCGCGCCCCGAUGGUCUCCGCCGGCGACCACCAGCGCGGCGGAGCGGCGCCCGAGAGAGGGGAGGGAAGGGGGAAACAAAACGGCGGUCCACGGCUCACCCCGGGUCGACGGCGACGACGGGAACGGCGACCGGAGCGGAGGAAGGCGGCGGCGCGGCACGGGUCGACGGGGACGGCGGCGUUCCGGCGGUCGGCGGGCGAAACGGAGGGGUGGACGAGGUCGGCGAGGACGCGGCGGAGACGAAGGAGGCGACGCCGAGGCGGGAGAAGGUCCGGGGCGACGACGGCGGCGGACCGGAGCUCGGCGGCGACGACGGAGAGAGAGAACGACGGCGCGAGCUCGAUUCCGACGGGGAGAGAGGGCGGCGAGUGGCGGAAACGGUGGAGGGAGGCACGGGGAGCGUUUAUAUAGUGUUGGGAGGGGGAGAGAGCGGCCGGAUGAGGGGGAAUCGGCCGCGGAAGAUCCGGCCGCCAUUGAUGCGCCGGCGAAGUUAGGGGGAAACUUUCCGAACGAAUCCGAGGGAGAGAGAGAGGGAAAAGUGGGGGGAAAGAGGGAGGGAAUCACGGGGAAUAAUUUCCCCCUCUUUAUUGCGCGCGGGGACGGCGGGAGGCGGCGGGAUUCUCGGCGGCGGCGGCGCUAGGGCACGGGCGAGGCGGCGGGAGCGGCGGGAGGUAGGGGAUGACGGGUGGGCCCCACCCGUCAGCGAGGGAGGCGGGCGGGCCCGCCCGUCAGCGGCACGCGCGCGGGGAGGAGGCCGGAUGGGCCGCGGGGGAGAGGAGAGAGAGGGAGAGAGAUGGGCCGAGCCGGCCCAAGAGGGGGAGGGGGGGAGAAAAGACUUUUUAGAGCUUUUCUUUUUAUAAAACCUUUUUAGCUUUGUUUAUUUCUUAAUAAUUAUUAUUUGUGCUCUGAAAAUUCCACUAAAAUUUAUUUACGUAUUUUAGGCUUUUAGGAAAUAUACAAAAAUCCUCCAAGCCUUAUUUGACUUUUAACUUUGCACAUUUUAAUUGUUGGAGGCUUUCACAUGGAUUUUAAUUAUUCUAUGCAUAAUUUUGAGGAUGUAUUUUAGAGUCGUUUUGGGACGCGACAGAUUUGAUUACGGAUCUGGAACCUUUGCGAGCAUCCGCACUUUCAGGAUGAAAUUAAGCCCUGAAAAGUGCACCUUCGGACUACCGUCAGGGAAGUUGCUUGGCUUUAUGGUGUCCCAUAGGGGCAUACAAGCCAACCCGGAGAAAAUCAACGUCAUCCUCAACAUGAAACCGCCAAGCUCCUGGAAAGAUGUUCAAAAGUUGACUGGUUGCAUGGCAGCGCUCAGCCGGUUCGUCUCACGACUUGGCGAGCGGGGGAUGCCCUUCUUCAUGCUGCUAAAGAAAACCGACAAUUUCCAGUGGGGACCCGAAGCACAAAAAGCCUUUGAAGACUUCAAGAAACUUCUCACCACUCCACUGGUCCUAGCUUCACCACAUCUGCAAGAGCCGCUGUUGUUAUACGUGUCGGCAACUUCCCAGGUUGUGAUCACGGUUCUGGUUGUUGAGCGUGAGGAGGAAGGCCAUGUCCAAAAAGUCCAAUGACCGAUUUAUUUCGUCAGCGAAGUUUUGGCCGACUCCAAGACAAGAUAUCCUCAGGUUCAAAAGUUAUUAUAUGGUGUUUUAAUUACCGUCAGGAAAUUAUCUCACUACUUCCAAGGCCACUCAGAUACGGUGGAUACAUCGUUUCCACUCGGGGAUAUACUUCACAAUCGCGAAGCAAAUGGGCGGAUCGCAAAGUGGGCCUUAGAGUUGAUGUCUUUGGAUCUAUCCUUCAAGCUGCGAACUUCGAUCAAGUCCCAAGCUUUAGUAGACUUCGUCGCCAAGUGGACCGAGUGCCAAGAAGACACGCCUGCGGAAAAGACAGAGUAUUGGACUAUGCAUUUUGACGGGUCAAAGAGGCUUUCAGGCAUUGGAGCGGGGGUUGUUCUAAUUUCCCCGACUAGAGAGAGGUUGAGCUACGUGUUGUGGAUACAUUUUUCUGCGUCUCACAACGUGGCGGAAUAUGAGGCGCUUCUUCACGGGCUAAGGAUUACGAUCUCCUUGGGAAUUCGGCGUCUGAUAGUUCAUGGAAACUCUCAGUUGGUUGUUAAUCAUGUCAUGAAAGAGUGGUCCUGCCUUGAUGAUAACAUGACCGCCUAUCUGCAGGAGGUACGCAAGUUAGAAGAUAAAUUCGAUGGCCUUGAGCUACCCCACGUUCUUCAACAUAAUAAUGAGGCAGCCGACCGGCUGGCUAAUUUUGGUUCAAAACGAGAAGCAGCUCCUUCCGACGUGUUCGUUGAACAUCUUUAUGAGCCAACCGUACCAAGGAAAGAAAUAAUCGAGGCCACGGACACUCAAGAAGUAAGCAUGAUUGAAGCCGACUGGAGAGAGCCCCUCAUAAGAUUUUUGACCAAACAAGAACUCCCUCAAGAUAAAGACGAAGCCGAGUGGAUCUCCAGGCACAGCAGACUUUAUGUCGUACAUGAGACCGAGCUGUACAAGAAAAGUCCAUCAGGAAUCCUGUAACGCUGUGUGUCUUUUGAGGAGGGAAGACAAUUGCUAAAGGAUAUGCAUUCAGGCAUCUGUGGCAAUCACGCUGCCGCACGAACCAUAGUUGGCAAGGCUUAUCGACGAGGUUUUUUCUGGCCGACAGCUAUAUCCGACGCCGACAAAAUUGUGCGAACAUGUGAGGGUUGUCAAUUUUUUGCCUGACAGACUCAUCUACCGGCUCAGGAGUUGCAAACCAUCCCGUUAUCUUGGCCAUUCGUGGUUUGCGGGCUCGACAUGGCCGGCCCGUUUAAAAAGGUUGUCGGUGGUUAUACUCAUCUCUUUGUGGCUGUUGACAAGUUUUCCAAGUGGAUCGAAGCCAAACCGGUCAUCACAAUCACGGCAGACAUGGCUAGAGAUUUCUUCAUCAACAUUGUGCACCGGUUUGGGGUACCCAAUCGGAUCAUCACCGAUAAUGGCACUCAAUUCAUUGGUGGAGUAUUUAAAGAUUUUUGUGAGGACUUCGGCAUCAAAAUCUGUUAAGCCUCCGUAGCGCACCCCAUGAGCAAUGGACAAGUCGAACAUGCCAAUGAUAUGGUACUUCAAAGAAUAAAAGCACGAGUUUUUGACCGACUGCAUCCCUCUGCUGGCAAAUGGGUAGAACAGUUGCCAUCUGUCCUUUGGUCCCUGCGCACCACACCCAGUCGGGCUACGGGCCAGUCGCCUUUUUUUCUAGUCUAUGGAGCAGAAGCGAUGUUACCGAGCGAGGUGGAAUUCGAAUCUUUGCGAUUUCGUAACUUCAGCGAGGAGCGCUACGGAGAAGACCGAGUAGAUGAUAUCAACCGACUGGAGGAAGCCCAUGAAGCAGCCUUAAUUCAGUCGGCUCGGUAUUUACAAGGGAUGCGCCGUUAUCACAAUCGCAAUGUUCGAUCGCAAGCUUUCUUAGUCGACGACUUGGUUCUGAGGAAAAUUCAUACUACACGGGACCGGCACAAGUUAUCUCCCUUGUGGGAAGGACCGUUCAUAAUUUCUAAAGUUACUCGGCUAGGUUCUUACCGACUCAAACGUGAGGACGGUACUCAUAUCGACAACUCUUGGAAUAUUGAACAUCUUCGUCGUUUUUAUGCUUGGGUAUUACCUUUUGUAUCUUCCUCUUUGACUGCUAACAUCAAGUUUUUUCCUUGAGUUAUCAGUCGGGGGCUACUAUAAUAAUAUGGAGUGUGAUUUUUAUCAAUUCAAUUUGCUUACUUGAUUUAUCAUUGCCUAUAGCCCGCUUUCUCUACGGUUUUGCUGAACUUGUCAAGCCCGGGGGGCCUUUAGGGAAUUUUGGAGAAUAAUAGAUUCUAGGAUAACACUUUCUAAGGUUGAAAGGGAUGGCAUGGGUUAAGCAUCUGACUUUGGACCUUCGAGCUAAGUUAUUUAAUAAGGUCCUACUAAUUAAUUGGAAAUCCUUUUUACAAAUCUCCUCCUCAGAGCGCCCUGUAACCUUACUUUUUCUGAAUGUUGAUUUUUUGGCUUAGUCAAUGAGGACUGAAUGUUUUUUAACAACUUUUGUGGGUUUUAGGCUCAAUGAGGUUUGACAAAAACUUUUAAGAAAUCAGGAGCUAUGUUUAAAUCAUGAAGCACAAUAUAAAUUCAUCAGUAUUGUACAAAUUGUGCCUCCGUCAUCAUCACCAUUGUUAGAAUACAAUAUCAAUUAGUAUCAGUCUUUUCAUCAUCAGAGUUACUAGAUCCAGUCGGCCAGAGGUCGUUGUCCUGGAAUCUCUCAACAACAUCGGCAGCUAUCUUAUCGGUAGCUUUCUGUGCGUCAUUGAUAAGGUCAAGAGCAGUUUCUUCACUUGUCCCAUCUGCAAAGCCGUCAAUUGCAUCAAUAUCAAUCUUCGGGUACAAGGACUUGGUCAUCGCCAACGCCAGGCCUGCUCGCAUGCUUCCAGCUUCCUUGAUAUUCUUAAAAUAUGUAUCCGGAGCAAUCCUCAGCUUGUCGAAGAUCUUGGCAGUGUCAAAUGAACUCGGACUAUUGUUAUUAAAGAACUUGGAUUGGACGAGUGGUGUAGCGGCGUUGGCGACUUCAUCUCUAGCUCCUUCAAGCCUCUUGAUUUUGCUGACCAAGACGUCGAAUUGAGCCUGGGAUUUUAUUUUAUGAUCUGCACAAGUGAAUUUGCAUCAGCAAGUGAGCAUGGAGAUAAGAGUGAUUUUUUUAAGUUCCAGCUGCAAGUACCUUCGACAUCUUUUAGGGCCGAGUCCCUCUGCUUUGUCAGUUCGCCCUUAUCCUUUUCCAGCGCCUUGAUCCGCUUUUCCUGAUCGGAUAUCUUGGUCGUUUGCACUGUAUUGCAUUUUGUUGGUUAGUUGCACAUGGAUAGCAGCAGGAAACGAGUCAGACAAGGUUGAGAGUCACCUUUUGAUGAACCACUCAGGUCGAAGUUGGAGUCUUGGAGCUCGGCGAUCCGGUCUCUCAGAUCAUGCUCGGUCUUCCUAGCAAGUUCCUUGGCCUCACGAAGCUGGUCUGUGGUGGCUUCAAGGGUUCCAAGGUGGGGAACUAACUUUUCGAGGGUUGCAGUCUUCGCCUCAUUUCUAAGAUGGAUUCUCUGCACCACAAAUUUAUCUUUGUUCAAGUAAAGUGGCUGACAAGAUGAUUGAGGCUGUGUAAACGUAGACUUACAUUUACAAGACGAGUAGCUUGGCCGAGUGUCUUUUUCAGCUGGCAUACUUCCUCGUCUUCUUUCUGCUUAUUUAUUACAAUUCCUUGUGGCCGCAUUUCAUCGUCCCACCACUUGACUAAUAUUGGUGGGCGAGAAUCUUCAGCCGAUCGUAUCCGGAGGACCUCUUCUUCAUCACCAAUCGUUGGCCCUUAUAUAUUCAUGAAUAAUGGUGAAGUAGUUGAAUAAAGGUUGUCGGAUCAAAGCAAAUUUGGAGGACUUAUUUACCUGUGAUAAUUUCCGGUCGGGGACGAGCAGGUCCUUGUACCUUGGCAGGAGAAUUAGUUUAAAGGCCAGCACCAUAGUCCGUUUUGGGAGGGCUGUUGGCUUGAGCUUCCACUUCUGGGAUAUCUCUAUUCUGUUCUGUACCCGACUGGUUUCUAGUCGGGGGCUCCUGAUCAGCACUGGCUUCUGCUUUGGCUAACUGGUUUCCAGUCGGGGGCUCGUUGCUGGUAUCUACAUUGCCGGUUGCCGGUUGAUUAUUACCCGGGCGGUCUUCGGUAGUCGGCCUAGUUUCUACUGAAGGACCAGUCUCUGUGCUAGUCGACGUGGGGUCUUUUCCAGAGGGAUCUAUGUUAGAUGGUUUUCUACAUUUUUGAAGACAUGCUAUCAGUUCUGUUUCAAUAGUGAGUGACUAGCAAAACAGAGGAAAUUGCCAGAGGACACAUACCUGGACGACUUCCUGAUUUUUGGCAUGGGACGACUUGAUGUUUUCUUCUUCAUAUUGGUUUGCUUUGGCUGUUUUCCAGUCACCCCUUUGUUGCCCGUCUUUCCCGCAUCAUCACCUUCGUCGUCACUUGAAAUCAACUUUCUCUUACGAGAAUCUGACUGGUUAGUUGAUCUUGAAGCGUUGGGUUGGACGUCCGACUAAAUCUUCAGCCCUCCACUGGUUUGGCCAGUGUGCCGGCGAGGUGAGAGCCGUUGAGCGAUUGGAGGAUCGGACUUCAUCAAAGUAAAUUCCUGUGCAUGAUAUUCCAAGUUUUCAGUUGACUUUACAGAAGAUAAAAGCAUGCUUUGAGAAAAGCUGAGUUGUAUAAUACAUACCUGUGGAGGAGGGUUGAAGGCAUUGUAUGGCACAACUGGUAAUAAGUGUGAAUAGCUGACCACGAUGGCAUUUGAGAAGAUUUUGUACAUUCUCUCCUGCAUAAUUUUGAACUCAAGAGACUCUGGGUCCUCUCGGUUGGGGUCAUGCUUGCCAUCAAACUCAAAGGCUGUCCUGGAUCUUUCCUUGAUUGGUGCCAGCCGGCUCUUGAUGAAGUGCCGGGUGAUUUGCUCCCCCUGCAGACCCUGUUCUUUCAGCUUCAGCAUCCGAUCCAAGAAGUCGAGCGCUUGGGCGAUCUCUUCUCCCAUAGGCAGUGAGUUCCAGGUAUCGCGAUAUACUAGGGGAAGACAAGUGUAUCCUGAUUUUUGGCAUGGGACGACUUGAUGUUUUCUUCUUCAGAUUGGUUUGCUUUGGCUGUUUUCUAGACGACUUCCUGAUUUUUGGCAUGGGACGACUUGAUGUUUUCUUCUUCAGAUUGGUUUGCUUUGGCUGUUUUCUAGACGACUUCCUGAUUUUUGGCAUGGGACGACUUGAUGUUUUCUUCUUCAGAUUGGUUUGCUUUGGCUGUUUUCCAGUCACCCCUUUGUUGCCCGUCUUUCCCGCAUCAUCACCUUCGUCGUCACUUGAAAUCAACUUUCUCUUACGAGAAUCUGACUGGUUAGUUGAUCUUGAAGCGUUGGGUUGGACGUCCGACUAAAUCUUCAGCCCUCCACUGGUUUGGCCAGUGUGCCGGCGAGGUGAGAGCCGUUGAGCGAUUGGAGGAUCGGACUUCAUCAAAGUAAAUUCCUGUGCAUGAUAUUCCAAGUUUUCAGUCGACUUUACAGAAGAUAAAAGCAUGCUUUGAGAAAAGCUGAGUUGUAUAAUACAUACCGGUGGAGGAGGGUUGAAGGCAUUUUAUGGCACAACUGGUAAUAAGUGUGAAUAGCUGACAACGAUGGCAUUUGAGAAGAUUUUGUACAUUCUCUCCUGCAUAAUUUUGAACUCAAGAGACUCUGGGUCCUCUCGGUUGGGGUCAUGCUUGCCGUCAAACUCAAAGGCUGUCCUAGAUCUUUCCUUGAUUGGUGCCAGCCGGCUCUUGAUGAAGUGCCGGGUGAUUUGCUCCCCCUGCAGACCCUGUUCUUUCAGCUUCAGCAUGCGAUCCAACAAGUCGAGUGCUUGGGCGACCUCUUCUCCCAUAGGCAGUGAGUUCCAGGUAUCGCGAUAUACUAGGGGAAGACAAGAGUAUCCGGGAAGCGCUGGCUCGGGGUUUUGCACAUAAAAUCAGUUCGCGUGCCAACCUUUGUUCGAGGUCUUGAAUGGCAUGGAGAAGUAUUUUUGGCUCAAGGUUCCCCUCAGUUGAAAUCCGGCUCCCCCAACUACGCAUGGUUUGUUUUUGUUUGGCUGGGGCUUAAGGAAGAAGAUGUGGCGGAAUAGAGCGAAAUGCAGCCUAACCCCCAGAAAGGCUUCGCAAGCAUGGAUGAAAUUGGCGAUGUGGACUAUGGAAUUAGGGUUUAGGUGAUGCAAGCUGAACCCAUAGAAAUCCAAAAUUCCCCGGAAGAAACUUGAGGUCGGAAGAGAAAACCCGCUAUAAAAGAAAUAGGAGAAUACCACCACCUCGUGUGUGUCGGGGGUCGGAAACAUUUCACCGCACGCUGGACGCCACCUGAUGAUUUCUUUUGCCGGAAGAACGCCGUGCGCCACCAUCUCCUUCAAGUUCCCCUCUUUUACGUCGGAGGGUGCCCACUGGCUUUCAAAGCUUUGUCUCUCUUCCACCAUGGAUGUGAACUAGAUGGUAUGAUUUGGUCCGGAAUGUGGUUGGGAAUGGAUGGGAGAUUGAUGUGGUGGUUGCAUGGGAAUUUUUUUGGAGUUUUGGAGGACGGAUUGGAGCGAAUCGGUGAACCCUAGCUUCACCGGCGUGGUUUCGCACUGUAGCAGAGAAUGGGGAAAGUGGCGAGAGUUUCGGCGGGGAAGACGAAGCGACGUUUGGCCUUUGGUGUUAUUAGGGUAUCGGAAGCACUAAUGGGCCUGGGCCUAAAACAGUACUUCAGCCCAAUUUUUCUAUCAGCGUGGCUAAGUUGUGAUCCUUAGGGACUUAGGCAUUUUGCUUUGGCAAUACUUGCUCGCACCAGUGUGGCCCAAUGCUACUAAAAUCCUCUUUGACGUAGUUAGAUAAUUCUUUGGAAUUACUACGAUGUAAAUAAAAAGGUGCCCAACGGAAAAGUGUUAUACUAAUUUUGCAAGCUUUUUUAGGAUGCAAAAAGCUGUUAGGGUUUUAUUAAGAUGACUGGUUUUUGAACAGUCAUUCUCUCGGCAUGUUAUAUGCUUAUUUUGAUUAUGGCAUGAGUUAUAGCUUAGGCUAUUUAGACUCUUCAAUUGUCAUGAUUUAUACCAUAUUUGAUGGAUCUUUUUGAGAGUUUUUACUCGGAUUCUUGUCAUAUGUGUUGAUUUAUGGACCUUUAGAGUAUUUUUUACUCGGGCCUCCUUAUAACUCCAUUUUUGGUAUAUUAAAGUUAAAGCAGUCGGCUGGAUGUUUUAUUAAACAUCGCCUAUGCUUAGCUGUAUGAUGUUUUGAAUAAUUCGGUUGUAAAACCACUCGGUUGGAUGUUAUUUGCAACUUGACUAUAUGUUUAGUUUUUAACUAAUCACAUAGUCGGGGGCUACACUAAUUAGGUGCAUCUAGUCAAUGCACCCGAUUUUUUAUUUUCAGCCCUUCACAGUCUUUGAUUUUGGUGCUCGGGAGAUCAAGGCAGAAGGAGUCGAAGUACUCGGAUUAUCGUUUUGGAUUACGAGAGAAGACUAUUUCGUCGACUGUAAAGGUCUCUGUAAAGGUCUCAGGGGUUACUGUGGAGAUUAUGGAUACCCCAUAACUACACGGCAUGUAUAGUCCAACUGGGUAUGGGGUGCCAUGUAUAGAUAGAAUAUCUUUAAAACGACUCGGGUUGAAUUCCAAACUUGUGCGUCAAGAAAAUACCCGGGAUCCUAGUCGGUUACAAUUGUAUCUUAUCUGUAACUACCUAUUCUGUUAGGGAUAUGGACUGUGCUUUGUAAUACGGACCCCUUCCCCUAUAUAAGGAGGGGUCCGGGUGCCUCUAGGGGCACGAUUUUCUUCCAGAUCAUACGAUCAAUAAUAUACUCGGCGGAUCAAUCCCCGGACAGGAGUAGGGUAUUACUUCUUGGUUAAGAAGGCCUGAACCUGUAUAAAAUUCCUUGUGUGUAAACCCAUCCACUUUUCUAGCUUGAUAGCCACCCCCUUUUAGUAUUGCCGAAAUCUUGUUUUGACAAUCCCUUUCCAGACCGAAAAGAAAAACAAGUUGUCGCAAAGAAAAACAAACUGAGAAGGAGGACAAAAGUAGCAGACGAGAGGAGACAGGAAAAGCCACUUGAAAUGAAAUGGAGAAGAAAAAAGAAGAUGGGAGGACAAAGAGAAGAACAUUGGGAAGCCCAAACAGGCUUACAUUGCAAAGGUAAAAGGAGAUAACAACGACGCGACUUAGGAGACAAGAGACACAUAAAUAAAGGAGACUACUAGCCAGGCCUUGAAGAGGCCGGGCGACGAUAAGAGGACACAGCAUAAAAGAAAUGAUACAAUGGGCCAGGCCUAGGAUAGCUGAAAGCACCCGAAGCUACUGUCCACCGGGCCAAUCGGCAAGAAGCGAUUGAGAGGGCAUUGCUCAUGCAUUUGGGUCAGUUUGCUCCUUCUUCCUACUAAAUUCCUUCUCAGCUUCAAGAACCAACUUUUUUUCGUCUAAGCCGCAGAAGUUGGCCAAUUCUUUGAUCUUCUUCUUCGGGGUUGGCUGGGGCGUUGCCAGGAUAGGCAUCUCCACAAUUUCUUCCAGUUUUUUCAGCUUCUUCUUUGGCCUGGACUUACUGCCGUUGUUGCUGCACGAACCUGUUUUGUUUUGAGCUACCACCCGAUCGCUGGCUCUUGCAACAGGAUUUAUCCACUUACCAUUGUAGGUGUCGCGGAUCCUUGCGUUGCGGCGGACGUAUACCGUGAUGUUGAGGUUUGGUAACGUUCCCACCAGCGGCAGCAGCUGGUCAAUGCGUGGGUCAUUUGGCUUGUUCAGGGCAUCAUCGAGCUCCUUCUGUACGUCAUGCGCUUCUUUGGCCUUCCGAUCAUACGAUGCCACCCUCUCAGCUAGUGGAUGCCGAAUCAGGGAGUAGGCGCCUUCAACAUGAGGUGAAGUAGCCAUCGAUUGACUCAUGCCAAAGACAUCAAAGCGGGGAUAUUCUGUGAUUGGGAGAGUAGGCGGCAUGGUGCAGAUAGAUGGGGGGGAAGGGAGGAAGGACAGGAGGGGUUCGAGCUGGAGGAGGUAGAUGGUUUGAGCGAGGAAAACUUGUUUGAUGGCUGGCUGGCUUGUUAGCGGGGCAAGAGCGAGUGGUGUGACAUCAACGGCAAUCGGGCUGACCGGGAUGGAUGCUUUAGUGGAGUAGCGGCAAUCAAUGGAUGGGAGGAGUCCUAGAGUUGGGCCAUCUAAAGGCAUUGGGCUAAAAAGCAAGGCGCAGGAAGAGGUUCUAGCAAGAACGCCAGUGUUCAUCUAGGCUAUUGAUUUGGUUGACAGAAAUCCAGAAGUGGAUAGCAAGACUCAGUCUGACUGUAACCUUGUACGCAGCUUGCUCAAAAAUGAUAGAGGCAUGUGCAGUUGCAACAGGCGGAGCGGGGAGAGCUAAUUUAGGCAACAAGGUGAAAAAGGCAAGGAGAUCACCUAGAUUAGGAUAUGCAUUUCGAGCAACCGCGUGCUGGGCUCGGAGAGCCAUGUUGCCGAAGACUCCAAUAUAGCAUGAUAUGGUUUUGGACGAGGAACCUUGGGAGAAGUUGCUUUCAAGAGCAGGAACUUGCCCUGCAGUCCUUGUCUGGUCACCGAUGUCAUCCGCGGGUGCCCGUGGAGCCCUGUUGGACCUGCUGUGAGCCCGAUGAGAGGGUGGUGGAGGUGGCGGCGGCGGGGCAUCACUGUUAUCCCAGACCUCAUUGAUGAAGAUGUCGGUGAAGAUGCCUGUCUCAUUCACCUUGUGGUAGGCCAAAUGAUGUGGGAUAUGCUUGAGGGCCUCCACCUUGAUCAUGGCGAAGAUGGCUGCGAACUCGUGACCGUGUAAGCACUCGUGGUCUACAUUCACGAGGUUUGCAAAACCCAAAAUGCAGGACGACUACACCCCGCAUGUGCCAAAAUUCCAAACGAAACUUCUCCAAGGUGAGCAGACGAUGUAGCGGUAGAAGAAGGUGAAAGCGUUCUCUCCACGGUUGUGGGGAAAAAGGUGAUCUCCCGCCCUUCCUCCACAAUGGGGCUCAGGCGGAAAUCCCUAGCUUGGUCCUCUUGGUGCAAGAAGAUGGCGAGUAUGUGCCCCACCCCUCCUGCUGCAAAGCGGACCCUAGCUCCGCCCAGGUGAUGGUGGAACACCCUUCUGAGCCAUGGUACGAGGGAGACCAAAGGCGGUUCAAUGGUAAUGGCAGUGACAUCAAGGAUUGCCGGCCAUGGAUUGCCGGCUCCAUGAUGCGAGUUUUGGCGGGGAGGGGAUGAGACAGCGCUGGGCGUCGAAGAGUAUUUGAAAUCGAGCAGAGAGGACAAAGGGAGCGAAAUUGGCCCAUCGACCUGCAUAACUAGCAGAUGAUAGGAUCCCUAUAGGAGACUUUGCGAUGGGAAAAGGAAAGGCAUCUGAAGAAGUGUUUUUCAAGAUUUUUUGGCUUGCCGGGGUAAACUAGGUGACAGUGUUUGUGGUUUGUUGUAGUUAUGGUGGAAGAGGUGGAUAGGAAAGCUUCUUUAUAGGAGUUAUGGUGCUGUUGAAGGGAUCCUAUUGGCUGCGAAUCUAGGGUGGAUUUAUCUUGCCCAUUAGUGCUGGAUUGCAUGCUAACCUUGCUUAGCUUCUCGUGAGCCAUCAUUAGCUUCGAAGGACACUUCGAGAGAAUCUUCUGCUCGGAGGUGCACGAGUCACUAUGCAAGCGUGGCGAACAUCGAGCUGAAAAGCUCUGUCUGUCCUAGGGCUGGAAAGUGAUCAAAAUGCAUUCGAAAGAUAGACUGCCGUGCAGCAGAACUUCAGACACAAUUUCUAAUGAGGCUACUAUGAAGAGAAAGUUUCCCGCUCUGGUUUGUUGAACCUGGAAAGCGUUAGGGUUGGCACCAAACUCGCCGGAGAGGAGGAAGGUGACUCUUUCAAGCGAAAGGAUAACACCCGAUGUCCUAACGAUCGCCAGCAACCGAAUCGGCGAACGCAGGGAGGGGAUGAUGGGGUCACACGUGCCAGAAAAGUAUUUGGAAAGCAUGGCAGAUUCAAAGGAGGUGCCGCGAGACCCGUUCAUUUUUGAACCAAGGACGGUGCUGUUCCUGGAACAGCGAACAAUAAGAGGAUUGGAGGCGAACUAACGAAGAGGAAGAGCUAGGGGGAAGGGGAGAUGCGGAGAGAGCUGGGGAAGAGAAGGAGAAGAAUAGGGAAGGGGAGACCUAACGACUUAGACAGACCGAAACCCUAGCGGACGACGGGAAGAAAAGAGACGAAGAAAAAGAAGAAAAAGAGAAGAAAAGGAAGUAAUGGAAAGAAAAACGGCGACAACUUGCAUUCAAUGCGGAGUAAUGGUGGGGACAAACUUAGAUGAUUGCCGAGGGAAGGCACCCGCUGUUGACUGCUGCCGGCGGCGCCCGUGGUGCUAUUUCCCAUUGUUGCGAAAGCUUUUGCCUUCAACGAUGUCGCCGCCGGUGGUGUUGUUUGGGUGGUUGGUUGGCCGGCGGGGCCUGGUUGGCCCACCGUGAGGUGAAUGGCGGAGCCGGAAUGGCUUCCACCGUUCUUUAUUGCCGGAGCCCGGAGCUUAGCUCAUCCAUCCAGUAUCCCCCCACUCUUUAUGAUUUUCCACUCUUGGCUGUCACUUUGUUGUAACGAGUGUGCUACUGCUACCCAGUGCUACUUGGUUUGCUCACUCAGAAAAGUCGAACUUGCAGCUAACAACAUACUGUGCACUAAACCUUUUCCGGCUGCCACACAGAGUUUAGGAAAUCGUACUUGUUGCUCGACAGGAUCAAAUCAUACUUAUGACAGGAUCAAAUCAUACUUAUUUAGCUAGCUAACUCGUUCUCCAUCUGCUUAUAUAAUAGUGUUGUCUGUUUCCUUUUUAUUCAAAAGUGUUAAUCAUGCUGAGAUAGUUGCUGAUUAGUCCCCGAUACGAUUUGUGUGCAUUGUUUGUGUUGUAAGCCUAUAAGCUAACGGAGAACUUCCUUCAGUGCAGACGCUACUUGCAGCUAAGAAUAUAUUGUGUGGUUCCAUCUGUACUUGCCAAUUAUUUUUUUAGUUGAUACCUUGAGCUAUCGUCCUGUUUACCUUCAGAAUUUGCAUGAUUCAUGCGUUGAAUAUAUAAGCACAUAAUGAUUUAAUUUAUUCCAUAAAUAAAUCAUGACAUUGCAGAUGUAAACUAGUGAUUUAAUUUAUUUCAUAAACAAAUCAUGACAUCGCAGAUGUAAACUAGCGUAAUCGUAUCAUAUGAUCUACGCAUGUAAACUAGAGAGUAAACCAUGCACAGAUCGAAUAUGUGAAACAUGUUGAAUGCAUACCGAAGGUUUUGGAAAACUAGCUUCUCAGCAGGAAGGACUCAUGGUACCAUGCGUUGACGACAACGCACAUCACGCGAGCGAAGAGGAAGACGAGCCAUUGUGGACGAAUAGGAAGCAAUCGCGUAAAGCGCUUCCCAAAAUCCUUAUUGCCGCCUUCUCCCGGUGCAGGACGUCGAAGCCGAAGGUUCCAGAGACCUAUUCUCCCGAUCACCGAUGCACGCUGGCGAGCGGGAUGGAGUAGACUAUGAGCAACAGCAUAAUACAGAGGAGAAGGCAACCCUAUAUUGAUUUCGCGUGUGUUGCGUGGAGGCGGUUACUCGAUUUAUAUAGAGAUAUCAGGACACUUGAUCAGGGGCGCCGACACGAUCUCCACUACGCGCAACCGAACUGGAUAAGUCGCGCGUAACUUAUCCAGAUUUUAUGCUGUUUUCACGCACCAGAUUAUUUGGCAUGUUUCCCAGAAAGAAAACAGAAUUUCCUGUAGCAAAAUAAAACUGCAGAAGGAAACAAAACCGAAUUUCCUGCAACAAAAUAAAACUGCAAAGGAGACCACAUUUGCGUAAGGGUGAGGAACCAAUUUUGACGGACCAUUCUACACGCACGUCGUGCACUCGCUUGGCGAGGCGAGGCGAGCAAGCGUGCGUGUUCCUUUCGUUCUCUCCACCUCAUAUGCCUCAAGUGGCUAGGAGAGCAUCCCCCUUAUAAGGAGGUAUCUCCCUCUUCUAGAAUUUGCAAGGUGAUACUAAACUCCCCAUGCAUACCAUCCUAUAAGAUGGACUUUUGUGAUUUUCCAAAAAAAUAAUCUUCGUAUGGGCUAAGGACCAUCUAUUAAUUCCAACAUCGUGAGUUCACUAAUUAUAUUAAAAAUCAAAUAACUUAAACAGAGGAUUAAAAAAAAAGCAUGAUUGGCUCUGACAAUGGGAUGGUGGGAACAUGUGGCCCAGCAUAUUUGCUCUGAAACCAUAAUGUUAGAUCAUUUAUCUUAGGAUCUACUAAUUCAUUAGCUUAACACAUGAUCAUCUUGAUUUAAAUGUGGAAUUGAAGCCAUAAUUGCUAUAUUUGUUUUGUUCUUCUUCCUAUUUCUUAUGUUGCUUUGAUUACACAGUGUACUGCAUGUAAAGUUUUAAAUCUCCUAUUAGAGCUGCAGCUAUCUCCAGAGGUAGCUGUUUAAAAAGGGAAUCAACAGCGACACCGCAUGGCAAGACAUGCGCUUGAGAGGGAGAAGAGCUGACAACAACGCAGCUCGGUGGUUGGAUAGAACCAGCACCACUAAGAUCAGGGGUCCAAUGAGAUCAGCACCAAGCAUUCCAAUCUAGCAUUAUUUUUGUUGAAAUCAGAUCAAAAUGCAUUCACCCGCAUUGUAAGAAAGCCCAAAAGCAUACAGAGUCUUAUACAAAAUAGAAAAAAAAAGAGGAAACACUACUUUCUAUAGAACACAUAAAUGCCAGCAAAGUCUCAUCCUACAAAGGACACAACAGGUAAAAGCAGAGAAACCAGAGAUAGCACGGCUUCAGCUGGUUCAUUUUCUCCAUCAGCAACUUACACCAUCUUCGCAUAGUGACUUGAUUUUCUUCGCUUAGUAUGAUGCUCCACCUCUGAACAAAGGGCAGAGCUCUGUAAGAAAUUUGGAAACAGAAUUUGGCCAAACAUCAGAAAAAACCCAGUCAUUCCUAGUUAACCAUAACACCCAGCAAACACUAGCAAUAAGCAUCACCCAAACCCUAAUCAAUUUUUCCCUUUCAUCAAGCCCAAGCUCUCUCUAAUUUUGGUAGAGCUAUUUUUAAACCUAAGGUAUAUCUUACUACACACCAAGUGAAGGCUGCUAAAGGACAUUGUCAUGGUUACGGAUAAGGCAUACCUCCUAUCCUACGACUUAUGAAAUAUAUGCGGAUAUAGUAUACCUUCACGUACACGGAUUGUUCCCGUAUACGUUGUAGGAAUCUGUUACAAAUUAUAGAAAAUAUCCCUACGAGUCAAGCAAUUUCCAAAGUCCAGCUCGGAGGGGACAGAGUUUCUGUUAUAUCGUACAAGAUCUGAUGUCAACGAGUUUGACUUGGAGAUCAAGAUGAUCCACGGUAUAAAAGGGAUCCCCAGGGAGGGGUGCAAGGCAUCGAAUCUCAUAGCCAACACACCCACCAUAGUUUACGAAGUCGAAGUACGCGAAGCCAAGUCGCCGGGAGAUCUCGUCGAAUACAUAGACUACGAUCUUGUCGGUAACAUCGAAUUCGUCUACUUCCAUUUUAAUAUGUGGUUUUUCCAUAUCAAUCUUAUAUAAACUAGAGUAGGGUUAUUACCUGAUAAGGGGCCCGAACCAGUAUAAUCCUUGUCUUCUAUUUGCUUGAUGUCAUAUUACGUAGAUCCUCGUUCCAACAUACCCCAAUACCAUAAUCAUCCAGUCCACGAGUAUCUCUCGUCGAUAGUGGUGCGCCAGGUAGGGGGACUUGGUGCUCAAGGUUCUGCCAAUAUGACUUCAAGCCACCCCGACAGCAGUACCAAAACCGGCGUCAAUCAAGGAGCUUCUACCUCGACAUCACUGGUGUGGACUCAAGUCGCAUCUAUUGCCUUUCUAGUCUACACCGUUACGCCAAUCUCGACUGGCCCAAUUACUAUCGGGAAUGAGAACGGCACGGCUACGACUUUGAGAAACGACAUCUCGCCGACAAUUCCUCCCACUUAGAAGAAAUCCUCAAGCGGCCGAAUUCUGUCAUCCGCACAGAAACCGACAAGGAUAUCUACCUAGAAACCCAGGUCUUGGUGUCCUGUCGAUAAGACAUCCAAGCAUACUCUAGAAGAUUACCCGGUGAUUGUUUGUAUUUCUUAGCGACACUACUGGGAAUAUAAUUCCCCGCAAUAGCACUAGAAAUAAUCCUGGUAUAUUAUGGUUACAGAUGUGAUCCGCAAGCACACGGAUGUACCAUUGUAGCAUUUCACCCGGGAGUAUUCCAAGGUAUAGUAUUUAUUUUAUCCCAAGGGAAGAUAUGAUAAGAGAGAACUAUGCUAACAAUUCAUAUUUUACUCUAUUACAUAUACGUCAAAGUCUACGUAGGGGUUAGUUUAGUUCAAAGGGUAGGUUGACACAUAUAAGAAAGAACUAAGAACUACUCUUACUAAAAUAUAGUCUAAGCUAAGUGGAGAAAGAAUAAGAAAAGUAUCAUUCAUGUACUUCUAGUAUACAUACAUCCUUAGUCUAUACUUGCUAUUAUACAGUCAUGUAACCAAUACCCCGUACCCAGUGUCCUCCUGGUGUUUCGAGAAGCCACCCCUGACUGCCGAGUUCCUUACGACAGCCCGUCAUGACCAUACAACCGGGGCUAAAUACGGAGGAAUACCCUUCCCAGGAAUUAACUUAGGACUAUAUACACGCGCGGAGGAAUACCCGUACUGAGCUGUCACCAUCAGCGGCCCACCUCUCAUCCGUAGCAUAUAACCCCAAUUAAUGGUAUCUAAUAAUCUAAGCACUGCGCUUACAUUACUAAAUACUACUCUACAUCCUUGCAACCGACAUAGAGCAACCGAAUAAUCGGACACUAAACCCACACCAAUACACCUAUCUGGAAAGCUAGUUACAUGCCUAUAUUGAUUCAAGUAUAAAGUAAAGUUGGCACUCAAGUAAUAUGAAUGGAAUAAAUUACCAAAGUGUAUAAAGAAGAAUAUUCUAUUAAAUCAAUAAGUCUUGCAAAAGAAGAGAGGAAAGCUGCUAGAGCCAUACCCGAAAUCUCCUAAAGACUUGAGGACUAUGAAGACUAUUCUAUUUUCUACUCCACUAGCACUAGAACUACUAAACAAUACUUGAGAGAGCUCUUGAUCUUCUUCUUGAGGUGUGUGAGGGAAUGAAUGAGAGGAGGGGUAUUUAUAGGUGGAGAGGUGCCUUGGGUGUGUGGAGAUGCUCCAAGCAUCCUAGGAGCAUCUUUGCUCUCCUCAUGACAAGUGGCAUGAUGAAGCAUCCAAGGAGCAUCUUUCUCCCUCCUUGUGACAAGUGUCCACGGCAGUUGCUUCAGGUAGAAACGGUCAUAACCGCCAUUGGAUGUCGAUAACUACCAGCCUGUGGAAUUUCUAGGCCAUCUGGGCUGCUUUUGGUUCGGCCGAACCUAGGGGUUUGGCCGAACCCUGGUCUGGUCCAUUUGGCCCAGAACUUGGUAGUUGUACUCCUCGUUUAUUCCUCAUCCCAUUGGUGUGAAUUAUGGGCUUGUUUGCUAAUGUUAAUUCUGUAUUAUCAGCCCAACUAUCCACAAGUCUACUUCUCGAUAGCGUCUGAUUGAUCGUUCGUCUAUUUUCUAUCGAUUCUCCAUUUAUAUGUUCUUCUCCUGCAUACAUGUUAGUAGCAUAAUAUAUAGUGGAAGUAGAUAUUUUAUUUAGAAUUUAUGCAUUGCAAGCAUAGCUAGUCUUCAUACAUUGGGUAAUAUUGACGGUCGAAACUAGUCGAUAACGACCAUCAACAGUGAUAGAACGCAAAGUCUGCUCCUCAUCGCAGGGGGCUGCUACCAAGAUGAAAUGGUCCCAACACAAGAUAGAGUUCUCAGAGGCGGACCACCCGAAAAUUGCAACCAUACCUGGCAGAUAUUCAAUCGUGGUCGAGCCCACUAUUCGGAACAUCAAGCUAACACGGGUUCUCAUCGACGACGGCAGUUCCAUCAACCUGCUUUUCGCCAGUACCUUAGAUGCCAUAGGGAUACCACGAAGCGAGCUGACACCCACUGAUCAGCCCUUCCAUGGGAUCACUCCAGAAUCAUCAUCCAAGACGUUGGGUAAGAUCACACUACCCGUCACUUUUGGACAAGCCGAUAACUUCCAAACAGAACAGAUCACCUUUGAUGUCAAGGAGUUCGACACUGCAUACAACGCCAUCAUUGGGAGAGGUUCACUCGCGAUGUUCAUGGCAGCAUCUCACUAUACCUAUCAAGUGCUCAAAAUGCCAGGACCAAAAUGGACAAUCACUAUCCAGGGAAACGCCAAGUUGGCGGUGUAGUGCGACAAGCGGAGCCUCAACAUGGUAGAGUAUACUCCCAAUCUGCACGCCACAACUGAGCAACCCAAUAAAGUGAGCAAGCCUAACAAGACGCCAAAACGAGACGAUGCAAUCAAAAUCAUACCAUUGACCAGCUCCAACCCCAACAAUACCGUCAAGAUCGGGGCAGCACUGGACAAAAAAUAGGAACUCGUGCUCAUCACCGUCCUCCGCGAUAAUGCAGACGUGUUCGCUUGGCAACCGUCAGACAUGUCGGGAGUCCCCAGGGAGGUGAUGGAGCACAAACUGAUGGUUCAACCUGACGCCAAGCCAGUUAAGCAAAAACUACAAAGAUUCGCACCCGAUUAAAAACAAGCCAUACGGGAAGAACUGGACAAACAUCUCAAAGUUGGCUUCAUCAGAGAAGUCCUCCAGUAAUCCAGUAAUGCUACGCAAAGCCAACGGAAAGUGGAGGAUGUGUGUAGACUUCACCGACCUUAACAAGGCGUGUCCCAAGGACCACUUCCCUCCCCCUCGAAUAGAUCAACUAGUGGAUUCAACAGCCUGUUGUGAGUCGUUGAGUUUUCUUGAUGCUUACUCCGGCUACCACCAGAUCAACAUGGCAAAAGAGGACGAGGAGAAGAUGGCAUUCAUCACACCCUUCGGUGUAUUCUGCUACGCCAAGAUGCUGUUCGGAUUAAUAAGCAUAGGAAAUACCUAUCAGCGCGGGAUCCAGGAAGCACUUGGUGAUCAACUCGGACGAAACAUCGGGGCCUACGUGGUAGACAUCGUCGUCAAAACCAAGACGGGCGAUUUGCUAAUCGACGACCUAAGGGAAACGUUCGACAACCUCCGACGAUAUCAAAUGAAGCUUAACUCGGAGAAGUGCACAUUCAGAGAACCGUUAGGGAAAUUACUCGGCUUCCUAGUCCCCGGACAAGGAAUCGAGGUCAACCCUGAAAAGAUAAAGGGAAUCGAGAACAUGAAAUUGCCCACAAGACUCAGGGAGGUCCAGCGGUUGACAGGAUGCAUGGCUUCGCUUAGUCGUUUCGUCACAAGGAUGGGAGAACGAGGACAACCUUUUUUCACCCUGCUCAAGAAGCAGGACAAAUUCGAGUGGAGCUAAGAAGCCGAGAACGCGUUCAUCGCACUCAAGCGGUACUUGUCAACCCCCCUGUACUCGUUGCUCCACAAACUAAUGAAGAGUUAUUCCUAUAUAUCGUUGCCACGCCUUAUUCUGUGAGUACGGUUAAUGUCGUUGAGAGGGAAAGAGUACAAUACCCAGUGUACUACGUCAGCGAGGCCCUCCACGACGCAAAAACCAGAUACCCACAGAUCCAAAAACUACUCUACGCUGUGAUUAUGACAUCAAGAAAGCUACACCACUACUUCCAAGCCCACAAGGUCACUGUCAUCUCUUCCUUCCCUUUGGGUUUCUAGCUGAAUAUGCAGACUCAUCGUUGUCUGAAUGUGUGUGAAACUGUGCAUUGCUAGAUCAUUUAUGUGAAGCUUGGUUAUGCCACCAAAAAGGAGUAUUAAAAUGACAACAUCUCACCUAUAGGUGUAGAUUGAAGAUUGUAGCAAUGAAGAUUGUUUUGUUUUUGUUCCCAUACAGCCAGCUGUAGUAAUCUAGGAAUCCUCCUAAUUUGAACUAAGGGUGUGUUCAUUCUUUGGGUGUAAAGUUUUCUCGAGUAUUAAACGUAAACUAAUAACAAAACAAAUUACAUAUUCCGCCUGUAAACUGUGAGACGAAUUUAUUAAGCCUAAUUAAUCCGUCAUUAGCAAAUGUUUACUAUAGCAUCACAUUGUCAAAUCAUGGCAUAAUUAGGCUCAAAAGAUUCGUCUCGCAAUUUACAUGCUAAAUGUGUAAUUGGGUUUUUUCCCACAUUUAAUGCCCCAUGCAUGUGUCCAAACAUUUGUUGUGAUGUUUUUGGCCAAAAAUUUUUGGGAUCUAAACAAGGCCUAAAAAUGUAUAUGCGAUUCAGACCCUGUUUGGAUUAGGGACUAAAGUUUUAGUCCAUGUCACAUUGGAUGUUUGGAGACUAAUUAGAAGUAUUAAACGUAGACUAAUGACAAAACACAUUCCAUAACCCUGGACUAAUUCGCGAGUCGAAUCUAUUGAGCUUAAUUAAUCCAUGAUUAGCACAUGUGAUGCUACAGUAAACAUAUGCUAAUUAUGGAUUAAUUAGGCUUAAAAAAUUUGUCUCACCAAUUUGCUCUCAUUUAUGCAAUUAGUUUUGUAAUUAGUCUAUGUUUAAUACUCCGAAUUGGCGUCCAAACAUCUGAUGUGACAGGGACUAAAGUUUAGCCCCUGGAUGCAAACACCACCUCAGUCAUUGAGUUUUCUGUACCUGCACCUGCUAUUUUCUGGUACCCUAUUCGUUUUUAUUCCUAUGAAGUUGCAUGCAGAAACGGUUAGGAGGACUUCUACCUCGACGAGUGUAGCUUCCUAGGAGGAAAGCUGGAGGAGUACCGGAGCGGUCGGUACACUUUGCUCCGGGUUUGGAGAAACUUCUUCUAUAAAAUAAGCAUUCGUGUCCCUUUUUUAUGUUAUUUAAUUACUUUGUCUAAGUAAGAUAGAUUUCUAUCUUUGCGGGUUCAUUGUUUAGUAUUCGUACUAAGUGCUCUAAUACUAAUACUCUGGAUAAAGAAGGAAGUUCCUGCAUAAGUAUUAGAGUUGUAAUUAAUAACUUAGACGUGGUGUCUAGGUUAGAGAUUACCUUUGUUUGUUGUGUAUCCCACGGAUUUGUUAGAGGUAGGCGACAGGAUGGUGAUAGCCCUGAAUUCUAUCCCAGUAAACCUCCACGUUCGGAUACAUCAUAGAGCUAUAACCGGAACCACGCUGGCAGACCAGCAGGGGUCGAUGCCCGAAGCAACAGAUAGGAAAAUACCUUCAGCUUAGCUCAGAUAAUUAAAACACAUAGAAAGUCCUCUCUAGUCUAGCCUGCUUAACAUCAGUUGUUGUUCUUGGAUAGUCUUACUCUUAGGUACAUUACACACGUUCCCUAAGUUCGAUAUCCUUUUGGGGCCAUCCGAAGGUGAAGUGCUACAGCGGUAUUCCGUGCGCUUGCGGAUUUAUCUGUGGUCGUAAGAAAUACCAACACGCGCCUAGACCUUUUGGGCCGGAAGUGCGCACCGGCAAAGCACGCGCAAAUUAGCAUUUGUGCAGAUUUGUCUUGCGAAUUAGUCCAGGGUUAUGGAAUGUGUUUUGUCAUUAGUCUACGUUUAAUAUUUUUAAUUAGUGUCAAACAUUCGAUGUGACGGACUAAAAUUUUGUCCCUGGAUCCAAACAUUUUUUCAGUCAUCUAGUUUUCUGUACCUGUACCUGCAAUUUUCUGGUACCCUAUUCGUUUUUAUCCCUAUGAAGUUGUAUUCAGAAACGGUUAGGUUGGGCUUACAUCAUUAUUGUCCUGAAAUUGGUAAUUCCAUGUGAAAAUUUAGUUGCACAGUGCUUAUGCAUUGCUGGAUGUAAAGUGUGCUUGUGGUAUCUGGUAGCUCAGUGUCGAAACAAGAUUUUGGCAAUACUAAAAGGGGGUGGCUAUCAAGCUAGAAAAGUGGAUGGGUUUGGAGACAAGGAAUUUUAUACAGAUUCAGGCCUUCUUAUUCAAGAAGUAAUACCCUACUCCUGUCCGGGGAUGAUUCCGCUGAGUGUAUUAUUGAUCGUAUGAUCUGGGAGAAAAUCGUGUCCCAAGAGGGACCCGGACCCCUCCUUAUAUAGGGGAAGGGGUCCGUAUUACAAAAUACAGUCCAUAUCCUUAACGGAAUAUGAGAUUACAGAUAAAAUACAAUCGUAACCGACUAGGAUCCCGGGUAUUUCCUUGACAUACAAGUUCAGAAACUAACCCGAGUCCUCAUAAAGAUAUUCUAUCUAUAUUUGGUACCCUGUACCCAACUAGACUAUAACUGCCGUGUAGAUAUGGGGUAUCCAUAAUCUCCACAGUAGCCCCCGAGACCUUUGCAGUUGACGAAAUAGCCUUCUCAGAACAAAAACAAUAAUCCGAGUGCUUCAAUUCUUCCUGCUCUGGCCUGCCGAGUACUAAAAUCAAAGACUGUGAAGGGCGAAAAUAAAACAUGGUGCAUCGAAUAGAUGCACCUAAUUAGGUGUAGCCCCCGACUAUGUGAUUAGUUAAAAAAAACUAGACAUAUAGUCAAGAACCGAGUGGUUUUACAACCAAACAUCAUAUAGCAAAGCACGUGUGGUAUUCAAUAAAACACCCAACCGACUGCUUCUUAGCUUUAAUAUAUCGAGAAUAAAACUAUGAAAAGGCCCAAGCGAUAAACACUCAAAGGGUCCACAAAUAGACAUAUUUGACAGGAAUCCGAGUAAAAACUCUUAAGACAAUCCACCAAAUAUGAUAAAAAUCAUGGUAAUCAACGAGUCUAAUAGCCUAGGCCAUGACCCUCACCAUAACCAAAAUAAGCAUAUAAUAUGCUAAGGGAAUGACUAUUAGUAAACCAGUCAUCUCAAAUCAACCCAAACAGCUUUUGCAGCCUAAUAAAGCUUACAAAAAUAGUAUAACACCUUUCUGUCGGGCACCUUUUUAUUUGCAUCAUAAUAAUUCCAAAGAAUUAUCUAACCGCGUUAAAAAGGAUUUUAGCAGCAUCAGGUCAGGUCCUGGCACUAUUGGAAAAUGAAGCUCUCUCAGUUCAAACAUAUGAGAUUACUUACCCCGGUUUCUAAGGGCGGAAGAGGAAAGUACCAAGGUGCACUAGGUGAGAAGAACUUUUUUCGCUUUUUUAUCGGAAUUUGACUCAUUUUAGUAUAGAAAAACACCAUUCUAUCCGACCUAGUAGGAAAAGUUACUAUUUUGCAUUCCUUAGGGAAAGUGGCGCGCAGACAGCUGACUCCUUUUCAAUAGAAAGGAAUAGCCAAACCUACCCAGCUGGCUGGUCAAUCUCAGUGAUCUUAUCGGCCGGCAAAGCGGAGACGGACGACCACGGUCCCGACCUUACCAGCACUGUAGGUUUACUAAUCAAUGAAGCCCCUCAACCUACUAUCUUUUCUUACAAAACUCAACCAAGCCUAACCAAACCCCAUGCUCACGACAUGUUCUUGAUAUUGAUUGAGUUGGAGGGAGUCAGAGACUACCACGGAAUCCUUCCAUAGUCACCCCGGUGACCUUCGUCACCAAAGCGUCACGACAGUUUCCAAGACCCCUCAGCAGGCAGCUUAUCAGGAUCUGCGGGAUCAUGAGGAAGGAUCAUUUUUCUUCCGUGAUGUGGUUUCCCACAACCGUGAUUUCCUGGAAGCGCAAAGCGCGAAAAGAACGUGGAUUGAGGUGGAACAGAAUUCGCUGUAGCAUUCAAGACAAUUGUUCCUUCUUCGGUCUCCCCCUCCACCCCCUUCGUUUGUUGUGGGUCGCGCUUCGAAGGGGUCUCCUGUUCUUCCAUCAAAUAUUCUGCUUUUUCCCGGGUACUCGGGUUCAAAUACCCACGGAUUUUUUGUUUGUUUACUGGCUUCAUAUAAUUCUGAAAACACAAGUUUUCUUGAAGCCUCUUGCUCAUAUCUCUCAUCAAAGGGUGCGCAUUCGGAACCACACAUUUUUAUACGAUUUUCUGAAGUGCGAAGUGCUCAGAAUAAUCCAGGUCGCUCGACGUAAGGAGAGGAACGAAAUAUCAAUAGAGGAACGAAAACCGAGUCUGAGACCCUUUGGAAUACACGAGAUAAGCCAUAAAGACGCCCAAUACUUCUUUUCAAAGGAAGAAAUGACAACCUUGAAAAAUGGUUGGAGUGGAAAAGCUGAACCCUCUUCCUCCUUACCACUUGGCUAUACUCCAAACGGUCGGUUCCCGGGGAGAGGGCGAAGGGAGAAGCAGUGGGCCUGUAGCUUUCCCCGAUCCCCCCUCGUCGAGUGGUGCUUGUUUGGGGCCACCUGAAAUCGGGCUUGAAGCUCUCGCCUUACCAACGAGCCAACAGAAAUACUCGACCUGGAGAGGAGACCACUGACCAAUCUCCGUCCAUUUUCCCUUGCCUUUCCUUUACGGGUAUGCCAGUUUUAGGGGACAGAGGACUCGAAAUCCUCUUUAGCUUUGCGCGUUGGUCUCUAAAUCCUAACAGAGUGGUUCGAUUCCACCUCAGAACGAUCAUUUUACUUUCGGAGGGCUUGUCUUUUUUCUUAGACUUAAGGGAGCAAGCUAGAAUCCUGCUUUUCCCAAAGAGAGUGGGAUGCGUCUACCAACUUGUCCUCUCAAUUGAAUGUUACCAACUUGUCCAUUAAUAGCUCCGCUCCGCCGAGCCAAAAGGAAAGAAAAGAACAGAACAGCCAGAGGCGAAGAGUAGAGUAUAGCCAAGGGGCUUUCGUCGUCCUGCUCGCCUUUCCUUUUGACGGCUUGGCUUCCUAUCGCUCCUAUGUAGUGGUCGGCCUUAAAAGUAUCUUUGGAGCGAGUGCACCGGAAAAGAAGGGGAACUGAGUCGAUCUAUUCCAUGGCGAAGCAUCCGAAGCAUAACUGCACACUCACACGAUCUUUGCCUAAACCAGGCUGUGCUUUCUUUUAUUUAGUAAGCUCAGCCGAAGAGCACUGGACCGGCAGCACCUGCAAAAGAAACUUGCAUGCCUUUCGCUGCGCGCCUUUAUUUGCUUUGGAAAUCAAACAAUGCAUUUCUAAGGAUCAUGGCGCCCCGGAACGGAAGCAUUCCAUCCAGCAGUAGCAUCUCCUUCAACCACACGAGGACAAAACUAAUGUUAGCUACAUUCGAGCGUUCACCGCAGCAUAAGAAAGAAGGCGCCCCGGCAGGAAUUCUGUAAGCUUGACUUGCGCGCAGCGUUUGGGAAUCAAAGAUAAAAAAUAACUCUAUGGGACUUACGGAACUAGAAAGAAGGUAGCCCGACGGAUAUCCUAAAGGCUAUCCUCUGGUACCUCGGCCCUACGCUAACGCUAGAUUCCGAGGCUUCGGGAUUCCCUCAACUUUGAGGUUGAGUGAGUCCCUCGUCCCCAAGCACAGCGGCUCUUCGAUCUCUAUCUCUGCAUUGCACUCCGAGUAAAGAUAUACCUCCAUUCCUUUUUAGAAGGGUUCUUCCCUAGUUCCGGGAGGAAAGGAAGAGUGAUUAAAACAAGAAGUACCUGAAAUACUUUGUUUAAUUCUACCACUUCUACUAGGAGUAGCCUUUUUAGUGCUAGCUGAACAUAAAGUAAUGGCUUUUGUGCAACGUCGAAAGGGUACCCUAUCUAUCACAUUGAUCCCCUCAAGAUCAUUUUGAAAUAGACCAUUUAUUCGUAAUUACAUUCCCCGAAGGCCUUGAACAAAUGUCUCAUUUAUGGAUACAUUGGGAGCAAAAUUGGAAAAAUCCGCGAGCCCCUUCUCAUAUUCGGAACUGGUACAGUAAAAGCUCUUGUGGGCUCGCUCCUGCUGCUUGACUCGACCGGACGGGAGAGGUUGUUUAAGAG
rnacentral:lncRNA from 1 species